rnacentral:lncRNA from 1 species
UUUUAUUAUAAUACCACUAGCCUAUAGUACUUAUUGAAACCAUUGGCUUUUUUCCUUUUGCUUUGGCAAUACCGUCUCUGGUUUUUUCCCAACGCUUUCCUCUAUAUAAGAAACUCUUACCCACCCACCAUUUUCUUCUACAAAGCAAAAUACAGCCAGAAAAUCAGUCUUUGAAUUCCGAAAGCAGCCCAUCGGCACUUUCAUUUCAAUCACCUCCCAAAAGCGUAGAAAAAAGAAAAACAUGAGUUCUUCAACAAGAGCUUGGAUAGCAGCUGCUAGCAUUGGAGCUGUUGAGGCACUAAAAGAUCAAGGAAUUUGUAGAUGGAAUUAUGGUCUAAGGUCAAUUCAACAGCAUGUCAAGAACAAUAUCAGAUCAUCUUCUCAAGCUAAGAAAGUUUAUGUUCCAUCUUCUUCUGCUUUGGCUAAGAAACUGAGAGAUGAUGAGAAGUUGAAGAAGUCAGAGGAAGCACUUAGAACUGUCAUGUAUUUGAGCUGUUGGGGUCCAAAUUAAGCUGCCACCUUGUUUUUUGUACAUAUGUAAUGCUAAUUUUGCAUCAAUUAUAUUACUUGAACUAUCAAAAAUAUGUUCAAAAGUUUAGUUUGAUAUUAGAAAAUUUUGGGGCUAAAUUUUAUAUACUGAACUCUUUGUCUGUGAUGAUCAUGAAUUAGAGUCUUACACUAUAUUUGGUGAGGAAAAAAAAAGAAGAAAAGGAAAAUACUAUAAUAAAAAAAUAGCUAUUCUUAUCAGAAACAUUCUAAAUUAAAUUGAAUAAAUUGAGGUGAAAAUCACAUGGAAGCUUUCUUUAGUCUUUAACCUCAGCCUCCAAAAUCAAAUGCUAUGAACAAAGUAAAGGCAAAUCACAAGUUUGUUGGCUUUACAAAAUAAUAAAUGGUUUUUAAGUCCAAAAUAAAGGGCCUCUAACUUUUCCAAAACUAUUGGCAGACACCAACCAGCCAAUGGUUUUAUACGCUUUCAUGUUAUAUAUUAAAAAAUAUGUAUAUUUAGUCACAAACCCUAUUAUAAAUGGGACCAGUCCCAUAUCAUCAGCACCAUUAUUAAUUCGUAAAAGAAAAAGGAAAAGAAAAGGAAAAGAAAAAGAAAAGAAAAUCUCUCUCUUUGUUUGCCACAAUCCUACUUUCAAAGAUAAAAAUAUUUUCUUGAUCAAGAUUUACAAGAAAACAAUAAGUGCAACAAGGAAAGCAUGGAUUGUGGCAGCUACAAUUUAUGGAGUGGAGGUAUUGAAGGAUCAAGGAAUUUGCAGAUGGAAUUAUGUCCUCAGGCAUGCCAAGAAAAACCUUAGGUCAUUUACCGAGGCCAAGGUUCAUUCCUUUCCAUAUCUGCCGGCCCUGGCGGCGGCUUCCGCUAAGAUGAGGGAGGAGGUGAAGAAACCCGACAAGUCCAUCAAAAAAGUGAUGGAAUUGAAUUCCUGGGUCCUAGUACAGUUAGAUUUUAAUGUAAUUUUUGUUAGAAAAAUGGGUUCAGUUUCGUGUAAGUGAUUUUGGAUUAAGUAAAGGUAAUAGGUCUUAAUCUUUUAUUUUACACAGAAUUUUAGAUACUUAAUAAAAAAGAGGUGGUGUUGUUUUAAGUGGGUGUCAAAAACUAAGUAAAAAAAAGAAAAAAAGCUAAAAAAAGUGAAGAGAAAAAAAAAGAAAAGAGAGUUGAUUGAACGGAAGUUGAUCCGUGGUUCGAUUGAAUUAAAAUCUUGUCAGGAGGUUUAUGAUUCAGAGUUUUACAUUCUGAACGGUGAAGAUCGGGUUUGAAGCUCUCUACAAAUAAAUCUAGAGUAUAUUUGUUGAGUCAUUUAUUUAGUGAGAUUUCUCCAAUUAUUUCUUUAGUUGUUGUUUAGCUCUAGUUUUAGCUAGAAAAGAGCUUUGUAUACCUAUUAUUUGAUAGUGAAGAUUUUUCUGGUGGUCCGUGAUUUUUUUCCUCUACACUAGAGGGUUUUUUACGUAAAUCUUGGUGUGCUUUAUUUUUCUGCAUUUUUUAUUAUUGAUUAUUAUCUAUUACUUCUGUAUUAUUGUGAUUAUUGCUUCAGGCACAACAAGUGAUAUCAAAAUGAAGGUUAUUUUGAGACAUCGAUACAAAAACAGUCCAAGAUAUAAGUAAAUUUUGUUUGAGAUCAUGAAGGGUGAUACAUGUUCCAUGAUAAAAUUGACAGCAUCGAAUUAUUUAAUUUGGAAGCUAUGAUGAAGGAUCAUCUAUACUGUAAAAAUUUAUAUGAGCCAAUAUUAGGUUAUUCGACUAAACCAGCAGAUAUGAAAAAUAAAAGCUGAAAUAAGCUAGGUAGAAAGACGCUGGCUACAAUCAAAAAAUGGAUUGAUAUCAGCGUGUUCUAUCAUGUAGCGCAUAAGUCAGAUGCUCACAUUGUUUGAAAAAAUUUGACAGUAUUGUAUGAGAGAAAAACAUGUAUGAAUAAAGUUAUGCUUGUUAAAAAGCUUGUAACUUUACAGUACAGAGAUGGAUGAUCUGUUACAAAGCACUUGAGUGAUUUUUAAUAUAUAUUUAAUCAGAUGACUACUAUGGAGCUUAAGAUGAAUGAUGAAAUGAAGGUAUUAUUUUUUUUGAAUUUAUUGUCAGACAGCUGGAAUACUCUAAUUAUGAUUCUUCUUAAUUCAACUCCUGAUUAUAAGGUGACAUUGGAGAUGGUAAAUGACAGUAUGCUUAAUGAAGAAGCAAGGCGAAAAGAUGUAGACCCUAAGAAUCAAGCUCUGGUCACAAAAAACCGGGAUAGAAACAUCGAUAAAGGUCAUGACUCAAAAGGUCGUGGUAAGUCUAAACAUAGAUCCAAGUCUAGAGGUAAAGUGAAGUGUUUCUAUUGUGGUAAGAUAGGUCAUAUAAAACGAAACUAUAAAAUCUUAAAGCAAGAGCGAAAAGAUGAGAAAGGUAAGAGUUCAGAUGAUGGUAAUGUUGCAGUAGUGAAUUCAGAUAGUGCUUCAGUUACUUUGAUUUGUACACAUGGUGAUUGUAAUCAUAUUAGUGAUCUCGACAUUGAGUGGAUAGUUGACACAAGAGCGACAUAUCAUUGUGUUUCUAAGAUAGAGUUAUUUACAACUUACAAAGUAAGAGACUUUGAUUGUACCAAAAUGGAAAAUAAGAGUGUAACACAGAUUAUUGGGAUUGGUGAUAUUAUUGUACUAACUAGUACAGGCUGCAUGUUGACUUUGAGGGAUAUCAAACACAUUUCAGAUAUGAGAAUGAACUUGCUUGCUAUUAAUAUCUUUGAUAAGGAAAGAUAUGAAAGUCGACAAAAGAAUGGACAGUGGAAGCUUCUCAAAGGAUCUAUGGUAGUUGCAAGGAAAAAAUUAUGCUACACAAUGUAUAAGACAUAAAUGCAAUUGAAUGGUAACUAGGUAAAUGUCGUUGAAAAUGAUGCUUCAGCAAACUUGUGGCACAGGAGGCUGGCACACAUGAGUGAAAAAGGGUUACAGGUUUUGGCAAGACAGUCUCUUAUUCCCUUGACCAAAGGUAUGUCUCUCGAUUCAUGUGAUUAUUGUUUGUUUGGUAAGCAUCAUAGAGUUUUUUUUCGUAAAAGUUCUUAGAGAACAGAAAAUAGAUUGGAAUUAAUUUAUUCUAACGUAUGUGGUCUCAUUGAGGUUGGGUCAUUAGUUGGUAGCAGUUAUUUUGUUACUUUUAUUGAUAAUGCUUCACAUAAGACUUAGGUGUAUAUGUUAAAAUAAAAAAGUCAGGUACUGCAGUAUUUUUAAAAAUUUCAUGCCAUGAUUGAAAGGAUGACAGGGUUACCCUUGAAGUAUAUUCUAAAGGCUUUGAAGAGUAUUGUUCAAAGCAUGAGAUCAGACAUGAGAUGACAGAACCUAAAACAUCGCAACAUAAUGGUAUAGCUGAAAAAAUGAAUCAUACCAUUGUGAAAAAUGUCAGAUGUAUGUUGAGGAUGACAAAAUUACCAAAGCCAUUCUAGGGUAAAGCAGUUAACACGGCUUGUUAUUUACUUAACAGAUCAUUAUCAGUUCCUUUGGGCUUUGACAUUCCAAAAAGAGUGUGGACAGAAAAAUAUACUUCAUACUCUCACUUGAAAGUUUUUGGGUGUAAGCAUUUAUGCAUGUGCCGAAAGAGCAGAGAUCAAAGCUUGACAGUAAAGUCACACAGUGUGUGUUUGUAAGAUAUGAUGAUGAGAAAUUUGGUUACAGGGUAUGAGAUCCAGUAAAGAAAAAGAUAAUCAGAAGUAAAGAUGUGAUCUUUCAUGAAAAAAAAACCAUAGCAGACUUUGAGAAAAUGAGAAAACUACACGGGUUACUACUGAGUGUGAUGUUUCAACACCGACAGAGAUUCCACAGGAAAGAGCCAUAGAUGAUGGAAAUGAGUAAGAAACAGAACUUAAGAAUAUGAAUGAGCCAGCCACAGUUGGUGAUGUGCCAAAUGCAAUUAGUUUUGAGCAGGGAGAGCAAUCAUCUCUACCUGAAAGUGUUGAGCAGAGGGAGCUACCUUUGGCGUCAAGUGAUGUAGAGUCUCAGCCCAGGAGAUCUACUAGAGAGCGCAAGCCAUCUAUCAGGUAUCCAAGUUCAGAUUUUAUUUUAGUUACCAGUGAAAGUGAGCCAGAAAACUUUUAAGAUGUGCAAGCUACUCUGGAUAGAGAGCACUGGUUAAAAGUAAUGAAAGAAGAGAUGGAGUUAUUACGAAAAAAUGGUACUUAUGAUCUUGUUAAACUUUCAACAGAGAAGAGGCCAUUAAAAUAUAAAUGGGUGUUCAAGUUGAAAAAGGAUGGUGACAAACUAGUGAGGUACAAAGCUCGAUUGAUAGUAAAAGAUUUUUCUUAAAAACCAGGUAUCGAUUUUGAUGAAAUUUUUGCUACAGUUGUAAAGAUGAGUUCUAUUCGAGUGGUACUGAGAUUAGCAGCUAGUUUGAAUCUUGAGCUUGAGCAACUUGAUAUUAAAAUUGCAUUUUUGCAUGGUGAUUUGUAGGAGGACAUUUAUAUGAAUCAGCCUGAGAGUUUUGAAGUGAAAGAGAAAGAACACUUAGUUUACAAAUUGAAGAAAAGCUUGUACGACUUAAAACAAGCUCUGCGACAAUGGUAUAAUAAGUUUGAUUCUUUUAUGGUGAGUACAGCAGUGGAUUCUUGUGUGUAUGUUAAACAAUUUCCUAAUAGUAACUUCAUUAUCCUAUUAUUAUAUGUUGAUGAUAUGUUGAUUGUAGGACAAGAUGCUAGUAUGAUUUACAGGUUGAAAGAAUAAUUGUCUAAGUUUUUUUAUAUGAAGGAUUUAGGUCCAGCAAAGCAGGUUCUUGGUAUGAACAUUAUCCGAGAUAAGAGAGCUAAAAAACUAUGGUUGUCCGGGAUAUGAGAGCUAGAAAACUGUGAUUAUCAUAAGAAAAGUAUGUUGAACGAGUGCUUGGUAGAUUCAACAUGUAACAUGCUAAAUCAAUUAGCAGUCCACUGGCCAACCAUUUUCAUAUAAGUAAAAAAUCUUGUCCAGUGUCAAAGAAGAGCAACUAGCUAUGUCUAGUAUUCCUUAUUCUUUUGCAGUCAAUUUUUUAAUGUAUCUUAUGGUUUGUACAAGGUCUGACAUUGCUCAUGCAGUUGGUGUAGUGAGCAAAUUUCUUUCUAAUCCAAAAAAAGCUCACUGGAAAGCAGUGAAAUAAAUUUUUAGAUAUUUGAGGGGUACCUCAAAAAUGUGCUUGACUUAUGAAGUUUCACAACCAGUUCUAGAAAGGUUUACUGAUGCUAACAUGGCAGGCGAUCUUGAUGGUAAAAAAUCUACUUCAGGGUAUUUGUUUACUUUUGUAGGAAGAGCUGUAUCUUGGUAAUCUAAGUUAUAGAAGUGUGUUGCUUUGUCAACUACAGAGGCUGAGUAUAUUACAACAAUCGAAGCAUGUAAAGAAAUGCUUUGGAUGAAAUAUUUUCUUCUUGAAUUGAAGUUGAAUUAGAAAAAGUAUGUGGUAUUUUAUAAUAGUCAAAGUGCUUUAGAUUUGAGUAAGAAUACCAUGUACCAAGCUAAAACAAAGCACAUUGAUGUUAGAUAUCAUUGGUUACGUUCAAUGAUUGAAGAAUAGCAGAUGCUAUUGAAGAAAGUUCAUACUGAUAAGAAUGUAGCAAAUAUGUUGACUAAGAGACUUCCUAAGAAAAAGCUUGAGCUUUGCAGUAACUUAACCGAAAUGAGUUCCCUGGCCAAGGUAAGUUUCAAAUAAAACUGCUAUGGUGAUGAAUCUCCUCCUAAUGGGGCUGAAGGGAGAGAUUAUUAGGAAAAUGGGGUCCAGCCUCAUGUAAGUGGUUUUGGACCAAGUAAAGGCCAUGGGCCUUGAUCUUUCAUUUUACAUAAAGCCCUAACUACUUAAUAAAAAAGAGGUUAGGUUAUUUUAAAUGGGUGUCGAAAACCAAGUAGAGAAAGAAGAAAAGCUAAAAAAAACAGAGAGAAAAAAAAGAAGGGAGAGUUGGUUGAACAGAAGUUGAUCCGUGGUCCGAUUGAGUUGGAACCUUGUCAAGAGGUUUAUGAUUCAGAGUUUUACAUUCUGAACAGUGAAGAUCGGAUUUGAAGCUCUCUAGGAAUAAAUUCAGAGUGUAUUUGUUGAGUCACUUAUUUGGUGAGAUUUCUUCAAUUGUUUCUCUAGUUGUUGUUUAGCUCUAGUUUUAGCUAGAGAAGAACUUUGUAUACCUAUUAUUUGAUAGUGAAGAUUUUUCUGGUGGUCCGUAAUUUUUUUCCUCUACACUAGAGGGUUUUCUACGUAAAUCUUAAUGUGCUUUAUUUUUUUGUGUUUUUUAUUAUUGAUUGUUUUCUAUUGCUUCUGUAUUAUUGUGAUUAUUGCUUCAGACGCAAUAAUUUUCAUGGCUUUUUGUUGGAGAAAAAACCAACAAUUAAAUGAUUGUUGUGUAUAGAGUUUUGUUUUCUCUUCUCUAUAGUUAGGGAGUUAAAGGGCUUAAGGUUCUUGGCAAUGGCAUUUGGCUGUGAAAAAUGAUCGAGUUUGGUUUUGGAUUGUUAACAUUGUCCUUCAUCGUUAUUUUGGUAUGUAAAAUUUAUAAUAAUGUAUUGGUGUCUCCAAAUUUGUCUUGUUUAGGGUUAACAAUGGAUCGAAUCAAGUCGAAUUUUUGUUCGCUCCAAACUUGAUCAGAAUUUAUAAUUAUAAAAUUCGAAUUCGAUUCGAUUUGAAAAAUUUUUUAUUUAUUUAUAUUCGAACCCGAUUCAACUCGAUGUUGUAUAAACCGUACUCAAUUCGAUUUGAUUCGAAAUUAUAAAAUAUUAUUUUUAAAUAUAAAAUAUAUUUUUUAAAUAUAAAUAUAUAAAUAUAUAAUUAAUUAAUUAAAAAUAAUUUUUAUAUAAUAUCGGAUCGGAUCAAAUUUAUCUAAAAUUUGAAUCUGAUCCGAUCUUUAUUUUUUUAAUAAUAAUAUCUAAUUCGAUCUGAAAUCUGAUUUUAAAAAAUAUAUAUUAACUUUAUGCGAUCGGAUUGAGUCGGAACCAUCGAAAGCAAAUUGGGCUGCCAACCCUAAUCUUGUUCUUACUUCCGAUGGAAAUUGCAUAAUAAAUUCGAAAUUAAAUGUCUUUUUUCUUAGAUAAAUGUUAAGAAAAUUUGAGUCUUUGACUAAGAAAAUCUAUUAAAUCUUAUAGAAACAUACACAUUUCACCUACAAAAGGGUUAGUUCAAUGAUGGUGAAAGAAAAAAAAAAUUUUUAUUCAGGUUCGAUUUGUGUGGAACAUUCGAGACCAAAAUUAUGAAUGUAAGAGGCCAUCAAGGGAAUGUGUAUUGUUAAAAUUUUUUAGUGAAAAAAAUUAUAUCCAAAUAAAGUUUAAAAAUACUCUAUUCAUAUUUUAAAAAAAUAUUUUUUUGAUAAAUUAUGCAUAAUCCUUAAAUUCAUAAUGAAUCACUUCAAUGACGGAUUCACAUGUAUAAAUAAAAUAUUUAUGGACAUUCAAAAAUUAAAAAAAAUUAAAUAUUUUUUAGCAAUAAAAUUAAUAAAUUUAUUGAUAGUUUUAUAUAUAUUAUAAUAAAUUAACAUAAAACACUUAAAGAUCCAUCUUAAAUAUUAUGUUUAAAUAACACAAUAAUAUUAUAUUAUUAUUAAAAUAAUAUAAUAUUAGUUAUUAUUGAAAUAUUAAAAAUAUUUUAUUUAAAUAAUAUAUAAAAUUAAAAUAUUAAAAACUUUUAAUGUUAAUAUUUUAAUUUUUUUAUUAAAACUAAAUAAAAUAUAUUUUAAUAUAAUAAUAUUUUAAAUGAAACAAAUCAAGAUCCAUCUUAAAUAUUAUGUUUAAAGAGUAAAUUUAUAAAAAUAUUUAAAAUUAAAAUAUUAAAAUAUUUUUAAUAUUAAUAUUUUAAAUUGUUAAAUAAAAUUAAAUAAAAAUUAUUAUUUAUUAAUAUAAUAAUAUUUUAGAUCAAAUUAAGUUUAAACUUAAAAUAAUUAUAUUCAAAAUUUGACUUUAUUAAAAUUAUACUCAAAUAUAUUAAUAAGUAAUUUUAUUCAUAAACAGCUUUUUUUAAAAUUAUAUUUUCCUACUCAGAAUGAUAAGAUAAUUUUAUAAAAAAAUAUCUUAAUUUUCAUUGAUGAAUAAAUCAUUUUUUAUUAAUUAAUCAAAAUUUUGACAAAUAAACAUAUAAAAAUAAAAAUAUAAUUUUCGAUUUUUUUUUUAAACAGACGGAGUUUGUCUAUUUCUUUACUAUUAUUGUCUCCAUUGUAGGAUGUACAGUUAAAGCAUUUAUUUUAUUAUAAUACCACUACACCAUAGUACUACUUGAAACCAUUGGCUUUUUCCUUUUGUUUAGGCAAUACCAUCUCUGGUUUUUUCCCAACGCUUUCCUCUAUAUAAGAAACUCUCACCCGCUUACAAAUUCGCUUCAACAAAGCAAAAUACAGGCAGAAACUAGUCUUUGAAUCCCAAAAUAUCCCAUUUCCACUUUCAUUUCCAUCACCUCUCAAAAGCGUUGAAAAAAGAAAAAUAUGAGUUCUUCAACAAGAGCUUGGAUGGCAGCUGCUAGCAUUGGAGCUGUUGAGGCCUUAAAAGAUCAAGGAAUUUGUAGAUGGAAUUAUGGUCUAAGGUCAAUUCAACAGCAUGUCAAGAACAAUAUCAGAUCAUCUUCUCAAGCUAAGAAAGUUUCUGUUCCAUCUUCUUCUGCUUUGGCUAAGAAACUGAGGGAAGAUGAUAAGUUGAAGAAGUCAGAGGAAGCACUUAGAACUGUCAUGUAUUUGAGCUGUUGGGGUCCAAAUUAAGCUACCCCUUCGUUUUUUGUACAUAUGUAAUGCUAAUUUUGCUUCAAUUAUAUUACUUGAACUAUCAAAAAUAUGUUCAAAAGUUGAGUUUGAUAUUAGAAAAUUUUGGGGAUAAAUUUAUAUAUGAACUUUUUGUCUCUGAUGAUCAUGAAUUAGAAUCUUACACUGUGUUUGGUGAUGGAAAAAAAGAAAGAAAGAGAAAACGAAAAGUACUAUAAUAAAAAAAUAGCUAUUCUUAUCAGAAACAUUCUAAAUUAAAUUGAAUAAAUUGAGGUGAAAAUCACAUGGAAGCUUUCUUUAGUCUUUAACCUCAGCCUCCAAAAUCAAAUGCUAUGAAUAAAGUAAAGGCAAAUCACAAGUUUGUUGGCUUUGCAAAAUAAUAAAUGGUUUUUAAGUCCAAAAUAAAGGGGCGCUGUAAGUUUUCCAAAACGAUUGGCAGACACCAACCAGCCAAUAGAUUUAUACUCUUUCAUGUUAUAUAUUAAAAAAUAUAUAUAUUUAGUCACAAACCCAAUUAUAAAUGGGACCAGUCCCAUUUCAUCAGCACCAUUAUUAACUCAUAAAAGAAAAAAAAAAGAAAAAGAAAAGAAAAUCUCUUCCUUUGUUUGCCACAAUCCUACUUUCAAAGAUAAAAAUAUUUUCUUGAUAAGAUUCACAAGAAAACAAUGAGUGCAACAAGGAAAGCAUGGAUUGUGGCAGCUACAAUUUAUGGAGUGGGGGCAUUGAAGGAUCAAGGAAUUUGCUGAUGGAAUUAUGUCUUCGGGCAUGCCAAGAAAAAUCUUAGGUCAUUUACCGAGGCCAAGGUUCAUUCCUUUCCAUAUCUGCCGGCCCUGGCGGCGGCUUCGGGUAAGAUGAGGGAGGAGGUGAAGAAACCCAACAAGUUCAUCAAAAAAGUGAUGGAAUUGAAUUCCUGGGUCCUAGUAUAGUUAGAUUUUAAUGUAAUUUUCAUGGCUUUUUGUUGGAGAAAAAACCAAACGAUUAAAUUGUCGGGAAAUACUACAGUUCUGAUAUCAUUUAUUAGGUUAAAAAUUUUUAAUUCAAUCAUAUCAGUAAAAAUAAAAUUAAAUAAUAAAUCAAACACAUAAAAAAUAAUAAUUUAAUGUGGUUCGAUCCAAUCAAUUUACGUCCACGAAUGAGAAACAAGAUCCACUAGUUGUAGAGAAUUACAAACAUACAUUAAAUCAUCAACUUCACUCAACAAUCAAUACUCAUAAGACACUCUCAAUCUCCUCUAAUCCUAUAGAGUAUUCUUAACUCAAACAAACACAAAUCCAAAUCUUUGUGCACCCUUUCAACAUAUCCAAAUACAUAUCAAUAUACUCUCAUACAUCAUACCUAUAUGUACUCUCUCAGUCUCCUUUAAUAUACUCAUAAAUAAACAUACACAUUUAUAAUACGUAAAGCCACAAUACUUUUAUGGGGUGUCUAUCCCACACAACCCUACAAUUCUCUUAUAUUUUUUUCUCAUACCUAACUCUGUAGAGACUUCACCUAUUUAUAACAAUACAAACAUACCCAUUAAGAAUCUUUUUCUUCUUAUAAUUUUUUUAUUGUAAGUCAAACUCACCUAUUAAGAAUUUUUUUCUCUUAUAAUUCUUUUUUUGCAAGUCAAAUUUAUCUAUUAAAAAUCUCAUUUCUCUUAAAAUUUUUUUUUUGUAAGUCUUCUUGUUCAUUAAGUAAUAUCAACAAAUCUCAAACAAAUCUCUAACAAAUUUCAAUAUUCUAAACAUAAAUAAUUGUUUGUGUAUAGAGUUUUGUUUUCUCUUUUUUAUAGUUAAGGAGUUAAAGGGCUUAAAGUCUUUGGAAUGGCAUGUGGCUUUAAAAAAUGACUGAGUUUGGUUUUGGAUUGUUAACAUUGUCCUUCAUCGUUAUUUUGGUAAGUAAAAUUUAUAAUAAUGUAUUGGUGUCUCCAAAUUUGUCUUGUUUAGGGUUAACAAUGGAUUGGUUCGGGUCGAGUUUGUAUUCGUUUUAAAUUUGAUCCGAAUUUAUAAUUAUAAAAUUCGAAUUCGAUUCAAUUCGAAUUUUUUUUUUAUUUUUUUAUAUUCGAAUCUGAUCUAACUCGAUAUUGUAUAAAUCAUACUCGAUCCGAUUUAAUUCGAAAUUAAUAAAAUAUUAUUUUUUAAAUAUAAUUAUAUAAUUAUAUAAAUAUAUAUAAUUAUUAAAAAAUAAUUUUUAUAUAAUAUCAGAUCGAAUUUACUUAAAACUCGAAUAUGAUCCAACCUCUAUUUUUUUUAAUAAUAAUAUCUAAUUUGAUUUAAAAUUUGAUUUAAAAAAAAUUAAUUUUAUGAGAUCGGAUUGGAUCGAAAUCCUACUGAAGCAAAUUGAGCUGCCAACUCUAAUCUUAUUUUUACUUCCGAUGGAAAUUGCAAAAUAAAAUCGAAAUUAAAUGUCUUUUUUUCUUAGAUAAAUGUUAAGAAAAUUUGAGUCUUUGACUAAGAAAAUCUAUUAAAUCGUAUAAAACAUACACAUUUCACCUAGAAAAGGUUAGUCCAAUGAUGGUGAAAGAUUUUUUUUUUUUUAUUCAGGGUUCGAUUUGUGUGGAACAUUCGAGACCAAAAUUAUGAAUGUAAGAGGCCAUCAAGGGAAUGUGUAUUGUUAAAAUUUUUUAGUGAAAAAAAUUAUACUCAAAUAAAGUUUAAAAAUACUCUCUUCAUAUUUUUAAAAAACAUUUUUUUGAUAAAUUAUGCAUAAUCCUUAAUUUCAUAAUGAAUCACUUCAAUGACGGAUUCACAUGUAUAAAUAAAAUAUUUAUGGACAUUCAAAAUUAAAAAAAAUUAAAUAUUUUUUUAUCAAUAAAAUUAAUAAAUUUAUUGAAAUUUUAUAUAUAUUAUAAUAAAUUAACAAAACACUGAAAGAUCCAUCUUAAAUAUUAUGUUUAAAUAACAUAAUAAAUAUUAUAUUAAUUAUUAAAAUAUAUAUAAUAUUAGUUAUUAUUGAAUAUUAAAAAUUAUUAUUUUAAAUAAUUAUAUAAAAUUAAAAUAUUAAAAAAACUUUUAAUGUUAAUAUUUUAAUUUUUUUAUUAAAGAUUAAAAAUAAAAUAUAUUUUAAUAUAAUAAUAUUAUUACAAUGAAUCAAAUCAAAGAUCCAUCUUAAAUAUUAUGUUUAAAGAGUAAAUUUAUACAAAUAUUUAAUAUUAAUAUUUUAAAUUGUUAAAUAAAAUUAAAUAAAAAUUAUUAUUUAUUUAUUUAAUAAUAUUUUAGAUCAAGUUAAGUUUAAACUUAAAAUAAUUAUAUUCAAAAUUUAACUUUAUUAAAAUUAUACUCAAAAAUAUUAAUAAGUAAUUUUAUUCAUAAACAGUUUUUUUAAAAUUAUUUUUUCCUACUCAGAAUGAUAAGAUAAUUUCCAAAAGUAUAAGAUAAUUUCAUAAAAAAUUAUCAUAAUUUUCAUUGAUGAAUAAAUCAUUUUUCAUUAAUUAAUCAAAUAUUUGACAAAUAAACAUAUAAAAAUAAAAAUAUAAUUUUCGAUUUUUUUUUUUAAACAGACGGAGUUUGUCUAUUUCUUUACUAUUAUUGUCUCCAUUGUAGGAUGUACAGUUAAAGCAUUUAUUUUAUUAUAAUACCACUACCCCAUAGUACUGCUUGAAACCAUUGGCUUUUUCCUUUUGUUUAGGCAAUACCAUCUCUGGUUUUUUCCCAACGCUUUCCUCUAUAUAAGAAACUCUCACCCGCUCACAAAUUCGCUUCAACAAAGCAAAAUACAGCCAGAAACUAGUCUUUGAAUUCCAAAAUAUCCCAUUUCCACUUUCAUUUCAAUCACCUCCCAAAAGCGUAGAAAAAAGAGAAAUAUGAGUUCUUCAACAAGAGCUUGGAUGGCAGCUGCUAGCAUUGGAGCUGUUGAGGCCUUAAAAGAUCAAGGAAUUUGUAGAUGGAAUUAUGGUCUAAGGUCAAUUCAACAGCAUGUCAAGAACAAUAUCAGAUCAUCUUCUCAAGCUAAGAAAGUUUCUGUUCCAUCUUCUUCUGCUUUGGCUAAGAAACUGAGGGAUGAUGAUAAGUUGAAGAAGUCAGAGGAAGCACUUAGAACUGUCAUGUAUUUGAGCUGUUGGGGUCCAAAUUAAGCUACCCUUCGUUUUUGUACAUAUGUAAUGCUAAUUUUGCAUCAAUAUACUUGAACUAUCAAAAAUAUGUUCAAAAAGUUGAGUUUGAUAUUAGAAAAUUUUGGGGUAAAUUUUAUAUGAACUUGUCUCUGAUGAUCAUGAAUUAGAAUCUUACACUUGUGUUUGUGAUGGAAAAAAAAAGAAAGAGAAAACGAAAUACUAUAAUAAAAAAAUAGCUAUUCUUAUCAGAAACAUUCUAAAUUAAAUUGAUUAAAUUGAGGUGAAAAUCACAUGGAAGCUUUCUUUACUCUUUAACCUCAGCCUCCAAAAUCAAAUGCAAUGAACAAAGUAAAGGCAAAUCACAAGUUUGUUGGCUUUGCAAAAUAAUAAAUGGUUUUUAAGUCCAAAAUAAAGCGCAGCUGUAACUUUUCCAAAACUAUUGGCAGACACCAACUAGCCAAUGGUUUUAUACUCUUUCAUGUUAUAUAUUAAAAAAUAUAUAUAUUUAGUCACAAACCCAAUUAUAAAUGGGACCAGUCCCAUUUCAUCAUCACAUCAUUAACUCAUAAAAGAAAAAGGAAAAAAAAGAAAAGAAAAUCUCUCUCUUCGUUUGCCACAAUCCUACUUUCAAAGAUAAAAAUAUUUUCUUGAUCAAGAUUUACAAGAAAACAAUGAGUGCAACAAGGAAAGCAUGGAUUGUGGCAGCUACAAUUUAUGGAGUGGAGGCAUUGAAGGACCAAGGAAUUUGCAGAUGGAAUUAUAUCCUAAGGCAUGCCAAGAAAAACCUUAGAUCAUUUACCGAGGCCAAGGUUCAUUCCUCUCCAUAUCUGCCGGCCCUGGCGGAGGCUUCCGGUAAGAUGAGGGAGGAGGUGAAGAAACCCGACAAGUCCAUAAAAAAAGUGAUGGAAUUGAAUUCCUGGGGUCCUAGUACAGUUAGAUUUUAAUGUAAUUUUCAUGGUUUUUUGUUGGAGAAAAAAACCAAUGAUUAAAUGAUUGUUUGUAUAUAGAGUUUUGUUUUCUCUUCUCUAUAGUUAGGGAGUUAAGGACUUAAGGUACUUGGCAAUGGUAUGUGACUUUAAAAAAUGAUUGAGUUUGGUUUUGGAUUGUAAACAUUGUCCUUCAUUGUUAUUUUGGUAUGUAAAAUUUAUAAUAAUGUAUUGGUGUCUUCAAAUUUGUCUUGUUCUUACUUCCAAUGAAAAUUACAUAAUAAAUUCGAAAUUAAAUGUUUUUUUUCAUAGAUAAAUGUUAAGAAAAUUUGAGUCUUUGACUAAGAAAAUCUAUUAAAUCUUAUAGAAACAUACACAUUUCACCUACAAAAGGGUUAGUCCAGCUGAUGGUGAAAGAUUUUUUUUUUUUUUAAUCAGGGCUCGAUUUGUGUGGAACAUUAGAGAGCAAAAUUAUAAAUGUAAGAGGCCAUCAAGGGAAUAUGUAUUGUUAAAAUUUCUUAGUGAAAAAUUAUACCCAAAUAAAGCUUAAAAAUAUUUUAUUGGUAUUUUGAAAAAAUAUUUUUGAUAAAUUAUGCAUAAUCCUUAAUUUCUUAAUGAAUCAAUUCAAUGAGGGAUUCGCAUGUAUAAAUAAAAUAUUUAUGGACAUUCAAAAAAAUUUUAAAAAAAUAUUUUUUAAUCAAUAAAAUUAAUAAAUUUAUUGAUAAUUAUAUAUAUAUAUUAUAAUAAAUUAACAUAAAACACUUAAAUCCGCCACUAAAUCAACCUAAACAAAAAAACAAUGGUCAUUUAAAACCGAAACCCAAAAUCAGGGCAAAGAUUAGCUAAUUUCCUUAGCAAAUUAAAUUCAAUAAAACAAAACAAAGGUCCCCCCGCUCUUCUUUGUUUGGUCUGAAAGGGAGUUGAUUUCCUUGAGAAGCCAAGUUCAGUUGUGUAGAUUUAGACUCUUGGUUACGUGUUUAAGCCAUUAGUUUAUACGUCCGUGUCGUAAAACCAUUGAAUCUCAAAAGCAUCGAAACAAAAACCAAACAAUUCCAGCCUAGUAGAAGUCUAGUAAACCCACCAAAGCACUUGGUUUUGUCUUCAUUUCUUGCUUAAACCGCCUAUGGUUUUCCACCUUUCCCCACCAUUUAAAACCACCCAACAUUACAUUUCAACACCCAAAACUGAAAAAGAAGGAACCUGUAGGAAAUAUCAUUACCCUUUGUGACAAUGAGUGGAGUUACAGGGAAAGCAUGGGUUGUGGCAGCUACAAUUGGAGCGGUGGAGGCAUUGAAAGACCAAGGAAUAUGUAGAUGGAAUUAUACUAUAACAUCGCUUGUUCAACAUGCCAAUAACAAUAUCAGAUCUUUGACUCAGGCCAAGAUGACUUCUUCUUAUUCUUCUUCUUCUUCUUCUUCUUCUUCAGCUGCUGCUGGUGCUGCUGCUGUUUCAAAUAAGCUGAGAGAGGAAAAGAGGAGAAAAGCUGAGGAGAAUAUGAGGAAAGUCAUAGAUCUGAACUGUUGGGGUCCAACUACUGUUAGAUUUUAAUGUUAUGAUCAUAUAUAUAGAAAGUUUUGUUGGAGAUCAAAAAGAGGGAUGAUAUAUAUGGAUAGAUGCUAAUGAGCCUUUUGCUUUUUCUUAUUGCAAGAUUUGGCUCUAUGUAAUUGAUUGGGGAUCAAGUCAUGAAAUAUGAAAUUUUCAAUCUAGAUUUUGGAUUCCAAUCAUUUCCUUUUUUUUUUUUUUUCUGAUUUUUCUAAUCAAUUGAUUGGAUUCUAUACAAAUUGAGAGCAACUCUCAAAUUUCCAAAAAUCAAAUUCAAAGUCUCUCCUCAAUACAUCUUUCAACAUGUUUGAUUUGAUUAUAUAGUUGUUGAUACAUUCAUGAUUUAUAAAAUGUGAAUCUGUUAUAUCUAUAAAAAAAAAGAAAUUAAAGAAGGUGUGAAUUUAUAUAGUUCCUGAGGAUAUAUGCAUAGUUAGAACCGAGGAACAUAGAAUUAAACAAAUAGGUAUUAAAAUUGAGUCUGAAAUUUCAAGAUUCCAAAUCCUUUUGUUUGUCAUUAAGAUAAGAUUUUAUUGGCAAUUUUGAACAACUUCAAUGCUUUACUUAUUCUAUUAAUGUUAGCUUAAAAUUUUGAUUAAAGAGAUGAAAAUUUGAAAUUAAAGCCAAAAUAACAAUCUGUGUAAAGUAAAUUUCUAGAAAUUUCACUUUGACAUUUCCCUUUUAAUUACUAUCGAAAGAUUCUUCAAUCAAAGCGUAUCGACAAAUCCAUCAAAUGAGUUGGAAAGGCAUUUUUUGGUAUUUAAAAUACUAGGGGUUUCUACUUUCGGCUAUGCCUACAGUUUUUCAUUUCUUUGCUUUAAUCUAAAUCAAGUGGCUACAAAACAGCAAGUGAUAUUAUUUAUCUAUUUUUAAUUAAUUACAUGGUUUUGAUAUUUAUUCUUUAUUAAUUGCUUUAUAAUGUUAUUUUCAAUAAAUAAAAAAGUAUUUAAUAUUUAAUUAUUGAGAUGUAAGGCAUCCAGUGCGGGUCAAUUUAUUAAUUAUGGCGUGGGAUUUAUAUCUUUUCCACACAUUGAUCAAGAAUUAUUAUCAAUAUAAAAAUGAUGAAAAAUCCAAUUUCACCACGUAUUGAUUUAAUAAUAUUUUUAUAAUAAGAGGUUGUCAUCUAAAAAAAUUAUAUAUAUUAAAAUUCGAAUUGUUCAUUUUAAACUUGAUUUUGUAACUUUAAUUAAAAAUAUAUGCUAUCUUGAUCUAAAAAUUAAAUAAUUUAUCUGUUCGGAAUCUGGAUUGCCCCAAGUAAUCUAAAACGCGUUGAAAAUCCAAAGCCAAAACAGUGAAAAGCAAGCACUUGGUUUUUUGCUUUUGUCUCCUAAAACCAGGGGCACUUUCCGUAGCUCCAAGUCCUGAUAUCUGGCUAAACCGCCUGUUGUUUUCCGAAUCUUUCUUCACUAUAUAAAAAACAGACCAACCAUUUCAUUUCUCCAACUCAAAAUCAACAAUUCAACAGCAGUAACAUCAACCUGCUAGGCUGCAAAUCGAUUCUAUUUGCAAGAAAUUCGACAAUGAGUAGUGCAGCCGCGAGGAAAGCCUGGAUUGUUGCAGCUACAAUAGGUGCAGUGGAGACAUUGAAAGACCAAGGCAUAUGCAGAUGGAAUUAUACCAUAAGGUUGCUUCAUCAACAUACCAAGAACAAUAUCAGAUCAUUUGUUCAGGCCAAGAUGCUUUCUCCUUCUUCAGCUGCUGCUUCAAAUAGAUUGAUGAAGAAAUCUGAAGAGAAGAUGAGAAAAGUCAUGGAGUUGAGCUGUUUGGGUCCUAAUACUAUUAGAUUUUAAUGUUCAUAAAUGCUAAAAUAUUUUAUUUUUUCCCACUCCAAUUUUGUUAUGGUUGAGGUAGGAUUAAAUGGCAUGUUCUGAAAUUUUUUGUUAUGAGUAAUGGCUGGUUCAAGAUUUGGCCAGAAAUGAAAUCAAAUUGAAUAUAAUUUUGUUUGAUAAACAUGUUCUUUUCAGUCUCAAAUUUUCUGGGUUUAUUUUUUGUUCUUAUUUUCAUUUUUAUCUUAGAUUAUAGAAAGAAUAAGAAAAAGUUCAUGGAUAGACUCAAAAUAUGCUUGAAACAAUAUCUUUUUUUAAGUCAAAAUUUCAUUUUCAAAGAAAUUUACUUGAAAUUCGGAUUCUAAAAAAAUGCAGACAAUGAGAAGAGCAUCAAAUUUAUUAGAACUUCAGCUGCAAUCAUGUUAAUCAGAUUUAGAGAAUAGGAAAGUCUUAUGAUACGUGGAAUUUUUUUUUUUUAAAAAAAAGAGGGCAUAACACUUAAUAAGGAGAAGAAAAUUCUGAUUCGAAAUCCAGAUUUUUAUGUCUCAUAAAACCUAGACCAAGAGGUGGAGGAUCAAAUUCUUCUUUUAACUUAUGAUUAUGAAAAGAAUUCAGUUAAAAAAAAUUUAUUUACACCCAUAAAAUUUCUUUUUACAUUCCAUUAUUAAAUAUUUUUUACUUCCCAAAUAAAAUAUUCUAUUAUUUCUAAAUACACCAUCUAACAAAAUUACAUUUCAUUUCAUACUUUUCUAAAUUUCUUUUCCAUUCUCUUACUUUCAAUGCAAAUUCAAUCUAAACUUAACUCUAAAUUAUCGAAUCAAUCUUUAGAUUAAGUAUUUUAUUUAUUGUAAAUAAAAUUUUGAUAUGUUUAUUGAUUAAUUUGAUUUAAAUUAAUGCAAAAAUUAUCUAAAGUUAAAAAUUUUAUUUAGACAAAUUCAAAAUUUUUAAAAAUGAAUUUCUUAAAAAUUUUUAAAACUUUUGAAAAUAAAUUUCCAAAAAAUCUUUAAAGCUUUCAUAAUUGAAUUUUCUAGAACUUUAAAAACUUUCAAAAAACUUAUUACUCUCGAAAAUUUAUAUUUGAAACUUUUAAAAUUUUUUAAAAUUAUUUUUGAGAAUUUUAAAAUAAAAAAUUUUUAAAUUAGAAUGUAAAAAGAUAAAAUUAUUAUUUAUUAAAAAAUAAAAUUAAUAUUUUAUAUAUGAAUAUUUUUAAUAAAAAAAUAUAAGGGAUAAAAAAAAUUUUGAUAGUGUAUUUAAAACUCAUGUAACCAAAAUUGACAAGAAUGAUCAAUUAUUCUCAGGUUUCACACACUUGUAAAGGUUUUACCAAUCAAAAUUUACAAAAGGAAUAGUCUCGGUGAAUCUAUAAUCCUCCUCUUUAUCUGUCAAAAUCUCUUAAACCUGGUGCUUCCAUAAAACUACAUACACUUGCCAAAGCAAUUUAGUUGAGUCAGUGUCAAGUCAGUGUAUCUUUCUUUUUCUAUUGACACUUUUGUCUCUUUCAGAUCAUUGAAAAACAAAACCAUGGGUCUCUUCCCCAAGCUGUUGAUAAAACUGCCUAUGGUUUUGCACUAAUUUGUUUUCCACUAACCCACUAUCUCUCAAACUUUCACUAUAAAAGAACCUCCUCCUUCCUUUUAUCACACUCAAAAACCCACAAAUUCUCUCUAGUUUUUCAGUUCAUCAAACCCCAAAAUAAUUAUAAAAAAAAAUGAGUUGUACAAGGAAAUCAGCCUGGAUGGUGGCAGCAAGCAUUGGAGUGGUGGAGGCAUUGAAAGAUCAAGGGCUUUGCAGGUGGAACUAUGCAUUGAGAUCAGUUCAACAACAUGCCAGGGCUAAUAUCAGACAAUAUUCUCAGACUAAAAAGUUGGCUACCCAAUCUUCUUCUGCUUUGUCAAAGAAAUCGAGAGAUGAGAAGUCGAAGCAAUCUGAAGAGUCACUAAGAAAAGUUAUGUAUUUAAGCUGUUGGGGUCCAUAUUAAACUAAAACCCUUGUGUUAUUUGUGCACAUAAUGUCAAAUUUCAUUAGAAACUUGGUUCAACUUCUUUUUUCUUUUCCCUUUCCAGGAUUAUUCAAUGAAAAUUUUGGUUAAAAAUCAGAAUUGAAGUGCCAAUUUAUGGUUUCAAUCUCAGAUAUUGAAAUCAGUUGAACAUAUAACCUGUACUUUGGGCUGGGAAAGUAGCCCAAGGAGCUGAAGCAUAUGAUUUCUCAUUUUUGCACUUUAAUUUGGGCAUGAUUGAAAGGAAAAUUUAAUGGGUAAAAACAGUCUUUAAUUUUGUAAUGAUGUUCAUCAUCUUUUGGUUAUUGGAAGAGUUUUUUUUCUACAUAGAAAAAAAAAUUAGCAAUUAUGAAAUGAAAUGAAAUGAAAGUCCUUUUUAUCUUCCCUUGAUUGACAUAAAAUUUGAAAUGAAAUACAAGGAUUCAGGAGGAAAUUUAAAUAUAGCAAUAAAAAAAGAGUUCCCAUAAAACAAAAUAUAAAUAAAUAAAGUAAAUUCCAUAAAUAGGAAUAUUCUUCUUUAUGGUGAAUUUAAUCCACAAAAAAAAUUUAAAAAAGGGAAAAUUAACCCAUUUAAAUCACAAUCAUGAAUAGACUUUUUUUUUUCCAUAUAUAAAUUAUUGAAUCCAACAAAAAAAAAGGGAAAAAACAGUGCAAGUUGAUAGAUCCAAAGACAAAAUUAUUCUACCUUUUGCCCUCAACUUAGGGAAUAUAAUUACUCAUAUUUGUCCAUUUCUAAGCCCCAUUUUUGCUUAAUUUUAUCUAAUUAUUUUCUUUUUUAAAUUUAUAUUUUUUCCCAAAAUCAGAUGUCAAAAGAAAUAUUUUGGUUGCUGAAGAACGAAUUAAGAAUUAUUAUGUACUAAAAUAAUGUACAAAAUUAUGCCUUACAACUAAAUCAAUUCAUUGGUCCAGUUAUUUAUCUUUAACUCAAAGACUGCUCAAGUUUUAAAAUAAUUUAAAUAAGAAAUUAAAAAUUAUGAUUUAAGUAUAAUUUUUAAAUUUAAUUAAAUUGAAUUCGAUUCAAAUAAAAUAUAUAAUUAAAAUAUUAUAAUUAUAUAAAUAUAUAUUUAAAUUUUUAUUUUUAUACUUUAUUUAAAAAAGGGAUUUUUUUCAAAUCCACCAAAUUAAUCCUCAUUUUUUUUUUUCACAAAAACUACUUCCUAGCUAUUACUGUUUAAUUUUUACAAGAAAAUAAAUAGAACCGGACAAGUGGAAACAAUAGUCGUUGUCUGGUCCAAACCCUCUAACUAUAAAUAUAUAAGUACAUUAUAAGCCCAUGCCGAUAUUCAAAACAUUAAAACCCAAAAACAACCCAAACAGUCAAUGCAUUGAAGAAAACUACCCUGACCAAAAAAAAUUUGUUUUUAGGUCCAAUAAUUUUUUUGUCUGAGAUCUUUUUUAUCCGAUAAUUACUUUAAAUUUCGAUUAACUCAAGUAAUUAUUUUGAAUUUUAAUUAAUUAAAAAUUAAAUUAGAUCAAAUCUCAUAAAAAAUAUAAAUUUUUUUAAAGUUUAUUUUUUGUUUGCACAAAAAAUAUCAAAUAUUAAUAUUUAAAUUUUAAAUUUAUUAAAUAUUAUUUUUAAAAAAUAAUUACAUGAAUUAAUUAAAUUAAAAUUUAAAAUUUAAAUUUUAAUUAUUUAAUAUUAAUAUUUCUUUUUUUAUUUAAUAAUAUUUGAAUAAUCCAAAAUUUCCUUCUCGCUAAAUUAAAAAAUAAACAUCAAAACUGAUAUAUAACAGAGAAAGCUUUUUUUUUUUUUUGCAAUAAUUGUGAAUCAUCACUUGCAGUACAGACAUGGACCAUUCCUUACAUAUGUUUGGUGACCGAUCUAUUAGCCAACAAAAUGCCCUUCUCAUGCAGGCUCAACCUACUCCUCCUGAAUUAAUAUGGUUUUUUUGUAAUUGUUAUUGAAUAAAAAGAAAAUUUGGCAAUAUUUGCUAGGUUGGCAUGAUAAUAUUUGAAUAGAUGUUACAAAGGACAAUAUUCAAGUUCAGUCAUUCUUGAAUUCAAAUUUUUUUUGAAUUUUAAGAUUUAAGCUUUCAAAUUUUUUUAAUUAAAUUAAAUUGUUCGAAAGUUCGAACUUAUUUUGAAAAAGUUUUUUAAUUAUCUCUAAGAUGAACCCUAAUAUAUACGAGAAUCGAAUUCAUUUAUGUAAGGGCUAUAGUCAUUUAAAAUAUCCUUAAAUGAAUUAAUCAUAUGUAUAGAAUUGUGUUCCAUUGAAAAUGGGGGGAGGGUUGGGGGGACAAUGAAUUUGUACAAAUUUUUAAUUAGGAAAUGGAACCUUAAAUGUCAGCAACAUGGAAACAUACCUAAUUAUUUAUUGAAUCUCGUUAAGUGAGGCAUAUAAUUUGUUAAAUUUACAUAUGAAAUGUAUGAUAAAAGCUUGUAUUAAAAUAAUCUAACAAACAUGACCAAUAUAAGAAAAAUAAUAAUAAUUAGGAAGUAACAAUUAUAUGAUUAUUAAAAUAAAUGUCCCAUCUAUAAAUUAUAAAUAUAUUGAUCGAGCUAAUGCCAAAAAAAAAAGUCUGCUCAUUAACUAAUCCCAUAAAAAAAAAUUAAAAACUUUACAUGCUUGAUUGACUUUGUGUAGUGUACAAGUUUAGAUGCAAUAUAUAUCGAUCAAAUUUUAAAUGUUGAUAAGAUUUUUAAAGAUUACAUGUUGUAAUGACUUAGAUAAAUUGUUAAUUAAAUAUUAAUUCAAAUAUCAUGUAUAUUGGUUAAAUUUUUAAAUAUUUGAGUUCAAAAAAAUUAAGUAAAUUAUUAAUUUAAAAUUAUGAAUUUAAAAAAAUUUAAACAAACUGAUCUUUUAUGUGAUUAAAUAAAUAAAAUUAAGGAUUAAAUGUGGCUUAAAAUUUUUAAAAAAUAAUUUAGUAAAAAAUUAUAAUACUAUAUCAAUUUAUUUAGAAUUUAAAACCCAGCAUGAUUUCUUAAAAAAAAAAAAAAAACCAACAUUAUUAACGUCAAAAGCGAAAUUUGUAUUUAUUGGCUAUGUUUUUAUUUUAAAAUGUUGACAUUAUUAAAAAAUAAAUUAUUUAAUAGUUUAUUUAAAUAUUUAAUUCCUAACUGCCCAACUAACCCUCCAACAAACAUACCAACCUUUAUAAAUGCACUUCUUUUCAUUGUUUAAUUUUCACCUAAUUUUAUUAAUCCGUAAUUAAUGAACUUCAAAAAAAUAGAAAUAAUUAUAAAUGCACUUCUUUUCAUUUUUUAAUUUCCACCUAAUUUUAUUAAUCCGUAAUUAAUGAACUUCAAAAAAAUAGAAAUAAUAUUAAUACGACGACAUUACCAUUCAGGAACUCUUUAGCGCAUGUACCUUGAAGCUAAAAGUACCCUCAAAACUUUAUUCCAAUGACAUGAAUACCCCCGAUGUACAGUAAUGUCAGCUACGGAUUCCAAAUUGAAAUUAACUAUAAUUAGAAAAAGAUUUCAAAUCCGACUCGCNNNNNNNNNNNNNNNNNNNNNNNNNNNNNNNNNNNNNNNNNNNNNNNNNNNNNNNNNNNNNNNNNNNNNNNNNNNNNNNNNNNNNNNNNNNNNNNNNNNNNNNNNNNNNNNNNNNNNNNNNNNNNNNNNNNNNNNNNNNNNNNNNNNNNNNNNNNNNNNNNNNNNNNNNNNNNNNNNNNNNNNNNNNNNNNNNNNNNNNNNNNNNNNNNNNNNNNNNNNNNNNNNNNNNNNNNNNNNNNNNNNNNNNNNNNNNNNNNNNNNNNNNNNNNNNNNNNNNNNNNNNNNNNNNNNNNNNNNNNNNNNNNNNNNNNNNNNNNNNNNNNNNNNNNNNNNNNNNNNNNNNNNNNNNNNNNNNNNNNNNNNNNNNNNNNNNNNNNNNNNNNNNNNNNNNNNNNNNNNNNNNNNNNNNNNNNNNNNNNNNNNNNNNNNNNNNNNNNNNNNNNNNNNNNNNNNNNNNNNNNNNNNNNNNNNNNNNNNNNNNNNNNNNNNNNNNNNNNNNNNNNNNNNNNNNNNNNNNNNNNNNNNNNNNNNNNNNNNNNNNNNNNNNNNNNNNNNNNNNNNNNNNNNNNNNNNNNNNNNNNNNNNNNNNNNNNNNNNNNNNNNNNNNNNNNNNNNNNNNNNNNNNNNNNNNNNNNNNNNNNNNNNNNNNNNNNNNNNNNNNNNNNNNNNNNNNNNNNNNNNNNNNNNNNNNNNNNNNNNNNNNNNNNNNNNNNNNNNNNNNNNNNNNNNNNNNNNNNNNNNNNNNNNNNNNNNNNNNNNNNNNNNNNNNNNNNNNNNNNNNNNNNNNNNNNNNNNNNNNNNNNNNNNNNNNNNNNNNNNNNNNNNNNNNNNNNNNNNNNNNNNNNNNNNNNNNNNNNNNNNNNNNNNNNNNNNNNNNNNNNNNNNNNNNNNNNNNNNNNNNNNNNNNNNNNNNNNNNNNNNNNNNNNNNNNNNNNNNNNNNNNNNNNNNNNNNNNNNNNNNNNNNNNNNNNNNNNNNNNNNNNNNNNNNNNNNNNNNNNNCUUUAGCUUCCAUGGCUUCUGCUGUUGUGUUAUUAGUAUUCGGAGUCAAGAGUGUAAGUGAUGUAGACAUUAAAAAAAAGGGGUCUGAUGUUUUUGGCUUGAAUCAAACAGAAAGAGAAAGAGAGACAAAGGAGAGUUCUUUUUUUGUCUUUGGCUUUUGCUUGGUGAUCAAAAGAAUGAGGAUUUUAUAGACAGAUGGUUUUGAAAGAUAUGGAUUUUCAUUUUUUUUUUUUUUACAAGAUAGAAAUUUAAUUUAAUGCUAUUCAAAAUAAAGUUUUGAGAAAACUAUUUAAAAAAAAAAAAAAAAAAGAGACCAAAACAAAACAACCCCUGUGAAAUGCUAAAAGGUACAUGGUUUUGUCUGGUACUUUUCUUUUCCUUUGUUUUUGUGUCUUUUUUUAAUCAAUUCUCAAAUUGUUAUCUCCAAUCUUGUUUUAUCCACUUCCAAAAUCACCAUCUUAUCUUGUUGUGGCUAGGUUUGCAAAGAUGGUCCUUCUUUCAUAUUUGGCAAUAAAACCUCAAAAAAAGCUGACUCCAUGUGAUAGUUUCUGGUAUGCCCAACUUGCUGUUUUAACAAAAUAUAUUGGAUUAGGAUCUGUCAUUAAUGUUUUAAUUAUUUAUGUAAUUAAUUUUACUCUAGAUCAUAUUGCAUGUCUCUUACUUGGGUUUAUUACAUAUUAAUUGAUGUUAUCUACAUUUGUUAGAUUGUAGGAACAAUAAUCAAUGUCCAAAAAUCUAGCAAAAUUGACAACUUUUUUUUUUUUAUAAUAACAAAUAUCUAUAAGCACAUGACAUAUUAUAGUUAUAUAUUAUACAUAUAUUCCUAUAUUUAGUGAUGAACUAAAUGAUCAAUCUCUUUCUUGUUUCCAAAGCAUUUCUUCUUUUGAUAUGCAAGAAUAAUUAAUUUUUACCUAACAUGUUCAAGUUAAUUUCUCUUUGCUUUCCCAUGUGUUAUAUUCAAUCUUCAAACUAUAUAUUCAUCCAAAAAUGUAACAUUUAUAAUCAAAUGUUAUUAUUCCAUGUAUAUAUAUAUAUAUAUAUAUGUGGUGUUAGACAUUCUCCUUCACCACUUAAAAUGGCAAAAAAUUUUCUUGAGUUUUGUUACAAAGCAAAAAUGAUCAAAACAAAAUUUUCUUAGCAUCCAAUCACAUGAAGGCCUUUCUUCUCGGAUUUGAGCUAGAGGUAAAUAAACAAAAUAAAAAAGAAGAAAGCUUAAAACGAGUGAAUGGAAAAACCAAUCAAAACCGCGUGACUAACCAAAGAUGUGUUUUUUCUGAUAUGAUUCUGGUUGAAGAUCUCAGUAAUCCAUCCCCUUCACAAUUGCAUGCAAUGCAAGAAAAAUCUGAAAUAGUACGGACCCGCCGUCCUCAAGACAGUGACAAUCCUGACCAAUAAUGACCUGCCACGUAAGUAAUUGGCCCCACCUUCCCUCCCUUCCUUUUUCCUUUUGUAAGCCUUGAUCUAGUACUCUGGAUCUUAGGCCACGCAUAUAUAGUGUGAUGAAGAUUUUAUAUGUAGGUAAAGAAGAAUCUCCAAAAAAGGGCAUUGGUUGGUGGUCCCUAUCAAUGACACGUAGCAAGUGGGGCCCACCUGGUGAUGUGGCUAUUGGCUGAUGGGGUUGGAGGGAGAGACUUGGCACGUGUGAAGGUGGUGGUAACAUCUGUGAAAGCCUGAAAGGUUUGCUUUUUGAUUUUUUUUAAUCUGUAUUGGGGUUUAAACAAAGAAAAGGGUUUGCUGGGUUUGGGCAGACAUGGAAGAAUUCUUGGGAUUUGGGAAGCAGAUUGUGCUCUGCAUGGAAUAAUUGGGGAUUUGGGCAAUAUGUGUUUAAGUGACCUAAUGGCGUAGUUUUUGAUAUAGAUAUAUUACAGACUAGGACCCUAACCAUGGGACUCGUUUUUGCAUGAGAAUGGGGACCAUAUAACAGAUUUGCCUCUUUAGCACUUUAAUAACUAUAAACAAUAUUUAUUUGUUUUCCCUAAUAAUUAGGCAUUUAGAGGCCUUAUAAUCUAUCCACAAUGUGAGCUAAGAGAGAAAAGAAUCGAAAAAAUUAAAAAUCAAUUUAAAAUAGUAAUAUUUGAUUUGAUUUGAAUAGGAUUUUUUUAUAAUUUGAUUUGGAUUAAAAUAAAAAAUGUAUAUAUUAAGUUUCGAUCGAAUUUUGAUUUAAGAUAUAAAAAAUUGAAAAAAAUGAAUUAAAUUGAAUUAUAUAUUUUUAUUAAUUUUUAUAUAUAUCUUAAAUUAUUAUAAUAUAAAAAUAAAAAUUUUAUAUAAAAAUUUAUUUAAAUAUAUUAAAAAUUUAUUUAAAUAAUAUAUAAAAAAAUAAAAUUUAAAAAUCGAUGAAUUGUAUCAAAUUGAUAAAUUUUAAUUUAGAUUAGAUUGAUUUUAAAAAAAAAGUUUGUUUUGAUUCGAAUUGAAUUUUAAAAAUUCAUAAUAUUAUUAUGUAUUAUAAAAAAAAUCAAAUCAAAUUCAAUUUGAUCCAAGUUGUUCUCAUUGCACCACACUAUCCAUCCAAACACAACGAGUGAAUGAUAUGAUAAUUUUCAAAUUAUAAAAGGUUUGUUAUUAUAAUCAAAAGCAUCAUAUAUUGGAGAUAAUCAGAUAAAACAAGAAUGUUUUUAAAUUUAAUUUCAAGAACGAAAGAAUAAGAUUUAAUGAGAUAGAAAAAAGUUACAUUUCAUUGGUUAACCUUUCAAAAAAACCUUUCAAAACAGAUACACAAAGAGAGUUAUCUAUAUGCACAAUGUAUUUAAAGUAUAAUUUAGAAAAAGCAUACCAGAGUCAUUGCUAAUGGAAUGUGAUUAAAAAAGUUGCCAUUAUCACGACUCAGGGUCAAACACAGAUAGGAGUUGUUCGGAUUUCAAUAUCUUUUUCAUCCAUAUAUAUAUAAUCAUGGUGUUUGGUAAAAGGAUUCCUGGUCUCCAUUUUUGGGUUCUUUUCUCUUUUACUUCUUCUUCCCUCUUUUUUUGGCAGCUUCUUUUCCAAAAUCAAACUAUGACUCUAUAUACCAAAACACUUUGAAACAUAUCAUGAUCACAAUCAUGAUCUAGUAUGCCAAUGUCCCAUGGUAGAAAAUCAAUCACGCAUAAACAAUACUACAAUACUAUAUCAUUAUUAUCAUUCUCGUAAUCAUUGCUAAUGAAACUUUUAAAUUAGAGGUAUUGCUUUUAAAAUAAAAUGAAAUUUGUGUAAUAAUCUCAAAAGAGAUUUGUGAUAAAUGAGAGAGUAGGUAACCAUUUGGUUACAUCCCCAAAGGUAUACAUCUUGAAGAUUGCUAUAAGGAACCAAAGGUUAGAGUAACUGUUGGUCCUGGCUUUAUGCAACUUGUGAAACAUAUUACUCUUUCAAGUUUAAAAAAAAGGGUAAAUAUAUAUACAAUAAUUACUCUGAUCUCAAUCUGAACUGAGAUUUUGCUUUCAGGCCUGUUUUCUUUCUCUCUAUGUUUACCCUUUUCCAACUUUUUUAUUACUAGUUUCCCAACAUAGAUAGUACCUUUGUCUUUGGUUAUUUAAGAUUUUAUGGAGGGACAGGAUCUCUCAACAGGUUGGUUCAGAGCAUUGGGAUGGGUUAAUCUGAACCAUCCAAAAGAGGACAAAAAGUCUGGGGGAUGAAAUAUUUGGGUUUCUCUAGCAUUUAUAUACAUUUUGUGUAAACUGAUGGAUGGGAAAUUUAAAAGGCUGUCACUUUCAGCUGUUAGUUGUGUUGUAUUUGGUAGUACUGCAUAUAUGAAAAAAAACAGUACUGUAAAACAAAGACAUGGAAAGUAGGUGGUGUCUGUAACAUGUUUUUGGGCUAUAUCAAAUUUCUGCCCACUUUUUUCUUUGCUAUUUUGUUCAUUUUCUUUUAGUUUUGUAUAAUUAUUUACUUCUAAUUUGAAAUUUCAAUUAUUGUUUCCUAUAUUGAUUUGUAUAUUUCACAUGUUAUUUCGCGAAAUGAGAGAUUUAAGCAUAAAAAAUCAUGCACUUACCAUUGAAUUAAAUACUCGGAUGUAAAAUUAAUUUUUAAUUAUGCGACAGGUUUGUGAUUAGCAUUGGAUCAGCUCAAAAGUUAAUAUCUAAUUGUUAGUUUAGUGUAUUAAUGCUUUAACGUCAAUUCCUUGAAUUUGGGGUUCGGUAGUAUGAAAAGAGGAUGUUGCGGCUCAAUUUCAAAGCAGAUUCUGUAGUUUUUUUUUUUUUUUAAAUCUAAGAAAGCAUAUUCCUUAUGCAUUUUUACCAUAUGCUUUUCUCAGAGAAAAUCGCUAUUCUAUGUCAAACCGUGGAACCUGAUCACCGACAUCAGAACAAACAAUUGCUCCUGCUUUUGUUUCACUGCAAGAAUCAAUUUGGAAGGAAAUAUGUUACCCAACUGUUUUGUUUUUCUUUUUGCUCUCUUAAGCUGAAGAUAAAAAUGUUACAAAUUUUCACCCUUCACUUAUUACUUGCAAAAUUUAAAAUUCAGGUGUAAUAGAGUCGAGUUUAAUUGAUUUAUUAUCGUACCGAAUUUGAUUCGAUCAGAAAACUCGAUGUACAUUCAAAAAUGAGAUUAUGAUAUAAUUAAAUUUUUAAGAGAAUUAAUAAUUUAUUCUUACAAUUAUUUGUCAAUUAUUUUUUUUUUAUAAAGGAGAGUCUUUUGUAAAUAAGCCCCUUAAAUAGCAAUUGCAUAAACAUAGAUUCCUUUUAUGCUUACUACCAGCAAAAUAAAGGGUUGUUUCCACAACAUUAUGUAUUAGAUUAAAAUAAUAGCUAUAUUAUUAUAAGCUAGAUUUUGCCUAAUUAUAAGGUUACGAACAGAACAAAGGGGGCCUAAAAUCUCAAAAAAAAAAAAAGCCUCCCAAAAUUUUUUCUUUUAUCCAUCAUAUUUCAAUUUUAAAUUCUAGCACUUGUAAUUUUUUUCUUUAUUCCCAGGUUACGAUCCUUUUCAUAUAAAAAAGAAAAUAUCUUUGGUUGUUGUAAAUCAUCCAUCAAAAAGUAAAGUUAUGUUCAGGCUUCUUUCAUCAAAUUUUGGAUUUUUACUAGCCGUGUAUAUAUCAAUCUCAAUUCCCAUCAAGUAAAUAACCAAAAAUAGAUUGUUUAUCCCAAUCAUAUAUCAGAGCAAGUUAGUCCAAUCAGAGAUAGAAGUUAUCAAAGAGCUUUAAAAACUUGUUUGAUAACUCUUUUUAUGAUCAAAGCAACUAAAUGUUAACAGCUUUUGUAAACCAAGACAUCAAUACAUGCCAGAAUCUGGUAAAUAAUGCUAUCGAGCUGUGCUUAAAUUAUAAAAUUGUAUAGAUAUUUGUACAAUUGCCAUUUUCUUGUGAUAUGAAGAACAUAUUGAAAAAAUUGCUCCAAUGCCUGAUUUGUCUGAUAAGUAUACAAUACAAAUAAAAAAUCUCUUCAGAUAGACAAAACUGCAAAAUGGAUGGAAAAUUUUGGAGACAUCCCUGAUUUUAUAAGCAAAAAAAAUGGAAUCUGAUACUUCUGCUCUGGCUUAUGUAUCAUAGUUUCAGUAGGGGAAAGGAUUUCGAUUUUUGAGUAUGAUUCCUUUCUAGUAAUCCUUCCAUGAUAACCUUCUUCUUGUGAAGCUCUGUAUCAAUCUCAGGAAAAUGAUGAUCAACUGUAAUAUUUUCUGAUGGAACAGGUUUAAAUUUACUCCAUCGACAUGCGAAGAAGAGCCAGGUUGAAGUACAAAAAAUGGCACAAACCUUACCCCAAAUGACCAAAACCAGUAGGCUAAUAAGAAACAAACAUAUACCAACAUUAAAGCCAUUGCCAUUUCCAACCUUUCCUUGCUUAUUGUUUUCCAUGGUUUCGGAUAAUGAAAGCCUUGAAUUCGAAGAAACUGAUGAGGAUGAACACCUUGAUGUUGUUGCUGUUGUUGAUGUUGAAUUCAUCGUAGAAGUUGUACAUAAACAAGGUGAAAAUGCAGAACUAGAAGUACUUCUUUUUGAGUGAUUAUCCUCAUUCAUUGAUGGACUGUCAUUUGUUGAUUUUGAUAUGGGUUUGGAAUAUUUUAAAUUGGUGUAAUUCCGGUUGAGCUUUUGUCCCAAUUUUUUGCUUCGCAUUUUCUUCAUCUGUCAAUUGGAAAAUAGUAUAGACCAAUAAUCAGUUUCAUAUUCAUGAAGUUAAUUGAAAAAUUAACUAAUGAAACAAUUAAAAAUCUAUUCGACCAUUAUCGACUUAAAAACAAAUUAUUUUAAAAAAAGAAAAGUAAAAAAUUUGACUAUGAUUUUGGAAUAAGUGAAGCACAUGUUGAAUUUCCAAGAACCAGAAAUGAUUAGACAUGAAAAAAUUUACACGAAAUUUCAUAUUUCGUAAAAUUUGUUAUAUAUAUAUAUAGUAUCACAAAUAACUGUAAAAUUUUUUUUGUUUAUAUGAAGGAAAAUAAAGAAAAAAAGGGUUUGAAAGUUAGAGUUUUGGACUUAAUUAAUACUUCAAUAAAAAAUAACAAUAGCUAAGCCAAUCCUGAACGACUAAAAUAAAUUUAAAUGCCUGGUUUAUGAGUAAUAUAAGCUUGAAGUAAAAAUUUGUUUAAAUAUCUUUUUAUUUUAGUAUUGAUUAUCAAAAUAACAAAAAGAAAUAAAGAGAAAAAAUAUAUUAUUCUUAAUAAAAAAAAAUGACAUAGAAAAGGGGGGGGGGGGGAGAAAAAAAGGAAAUAACUAACCAGGGAAGUUUCAAAGAAGAGGGCUUUGACAUAGCGGGAGAAACUGCGACGACCAUGUUUGUUUUUCCGACCACAAGAGCCCAUAACAUCAUUGUCUUUGUCGUCCGGACUCAUCAUGUUCGCCAUCGGAGAAAGAACCGGUUUAACUUCCUCCUCCGACGGCGACUCUCCUUCUUCUCCAACCACCAAACCGUUUUCAAAAACAACUGAAUCAAAACACAUGCAAAAACUACUACUUCUCUUCUUAAUGCUCGCUAGUUUUUUCAUUUCCUUUUUUUUACAAACGGUGUUUAAGUUCAUGCAAUGGUUUUUAGCCAAAAAAAAAAAAAAAGGGUUAGUUUCUAAAUGGAUACGGCAAAGAUUUAGGAGAAAAAUGUUUGGUUGGCGAGAGAGUUUCGGAAAACCAGAGAAAACGAGGGAAGAGUUGGUUUUUUUUAAUGGGUUUUUAAUGGGGGGUCGGGUUUUAAUGGGAGAGAGACUGACGAUUUUCCUUCUUUAUACUCCGUUAAGAAGGGGAACAAACAUGUUAUUUUUGAAGUGUGUUAUUAUUACAAUAAAAGAAAAUGUGUCAGUAAGCCUAAUAUAUAUAUAUAUAUAUUAUGUUUGAGAUUAUAUGAGAUUGAAUUUUUGUCAUUGAAAGUAAGAGUCAAUUAAUUUAUAAUUAAUUGUUAUAAUUCAUAUUUUUUUAAUUAUAUAUAAUUAUUUUAAUUACAAACUUGUUAUUAAAAUAAAGGAAAAUUUGUUAUUAAGUCUAAUUAUUUUAAUUAUAUAUAUUUACAUAUUUAUAUAUAUGAAACCCUAAUUGUGGGUGUAGAAGCUGAAAAAUAGAAAUGAAGAAAAAACAUAAUGUAAAUAAAAAAUAUGUAAUUUAGUACUAGCAUUUUCCCUUUUAAAUAUAUAUAAAAUUGUUCAUUAUGUUGGCCUUUGAUAAAGAAUAGUUCAAACGUAACGAGGCGUUAACCUUACGGUAGACGCGUUAUCAGCCGUCCAAUGAGGGAACAGGAAAAAAAAGUUUUUAUAUAAAAAUAAUUUAAAUCAACGGCUCUCAUUUAUUAUUUGACCUAAUGGACUGACUUUGACUUGGACUUGUUAAAUAAUGACCUAAAAUGACUUUAAAUUGUUCUUUAAGACAGCUUUCAAAGAAUGGAAACGUUUGAUUUGGGUUAAAAAAGAAAAAAACGACAAGGAUUGAUUAUUUGAUUAAUUAAGAUUUAAGAAUAAGCUUGGAAACCAAUCAAUGCUAGACAAGGUAUCAAUUAAUAAUUCGAGACUUGUCGUAAUUACAAACCUUUGAAUGUGCCAAUGUUAUUGAAGCCACUUCUAAAGAAGGCCUAACCUUUGAUUUCAGCUAUUAAUCCUCUCAAAAAAGUAUAAGUAACCCAUGUCCUUGGGUGGAUUGAUAGAAGCCCCGACCUUAUCAUCAUUGAAAAUGACCCAUCUACCAUCUUUGAGAAUAUGAGCAACAUAGUGGCCACACUGAGUAGAGGUUCCAAUAUGACUUACUAUUCCAAAAAGCCGAUAUCCUGCAUUAAGAAAACAUUACAAUGGGGUUUAGGUCAGAUGACCAUUAUGCAUGACUAUGAAACAAAUAAACAGAAUAACCGAGACUCGAGAGACUCACUCCCUCCUCCGUCAGGUAAUCCUGCGUCAACUGGAGUAGGCGUGCUGUUGCUUGAUUUCGUAGUAUCCAUAUCUGAUGAAGCCGAGGCAUUGGGAUUAUUAAAUAUCCAAUCGGUUGCUUUUUCAAUGUCGCCACCCUGUAAAAAUGUACAUGCCCCACGAUUGUGAGUUUCCAACAGAUAAGGAAACUGCUUUCUGAAUCCUCAAAAGAAAUGAAAUGCUGUAAAGACUUUACCGAUGCUUUCAAUGCCAUUCGAGCAAUUUCUUCGUGAAAACCAAAUGAAAUCAAAGUAUCGACUGUUGAUUGGUCAAUAGAUGCCUCAGCACCUUGUGCCCCAUAGGAGACAGGAGCAUCUAUAUCUGAAAAGAUACAUUAAUGAGCAUCAUUUGAUAUGGUAUCAUGUGUCUAUGUCACAGCUCUAAAAGGCAGAUAACUUGCAGAAAAAUUCAAGAUUAUACUUAUAAUGCUAAAUUCUGAAUACCUGAAUCAUCCAUGUGCGAAAGCAACCAGUUCAUUGCCUCUUCUAAACCGGCAUUUAAAGUAUUUAUGGCAGCUUUCUGACAAUAAAGCUGGUUAAACCCCAUCGAGACAAGCUGGGCAACAAUUUCUUCAUCGGCCACAGGCUGGCUUGAUUCUGCCCUUCCCUCAGGAGCUAUGCAGUACAAAUAACAGGUUCCAAGAGAAAAUUUUACAAAAUCAAUAAUUCUCCUCUUUUAUAUCAUCGACGUCUCAAUCAACAUUAUCAUUACCAUUAAUGGAAUCUAUUAAUUCACAUACCAGCCUCUGGCAAGAGUUCCUCUCCAGGUUGAAGGCCUUUGCUGCGCAUAUGGCUUAUAUCUAUGAUGUCAGGAACAUCUAUGUAGACAUCUGGAUGGACAAUAUACAUAAUGAAUAUCAACUUGAAAGAAACAGGCAAUGUGCUACAUAGUAACAAAGUCAUGAAAGUACCAAGCUUUUUAGGCACCCAGCCUGCCUCCAUGACAAACUUCCUCAUAUGCAAUACCAAAUAAUCAGGGAAUGAAGUUAAACCAGCAGUCCUGUAGUGUAAAAUACAAAGGAGAAAAAUAAGCCUCUGAACACACUAAGAUAUUAAUAAAAGAAUACUCUAGGACUGCCAGUCUACAACCUUGACAAAAACACCAUCAGUAAACUAUAUUCUCCUUUUUUUUUUAUUGGAAACUAUAUGCUUAUAUGAACCUUGUAAAAUAAUACACAUUUACUAAGGGAUAACCAACCCUUUGCAAGAACACAAAUCUUACUUGAUAGCUGUCGUCUUGGCCUUCAAUGCAGUGCUAUAAAAUUCAUGUAUCUCCUCUGGAGCUGCAAAGUUUGCUAAGCAUGCUUCUAGAGGUACCCUUGGACGUAAAAUUUCAUCAUUGGAUCUGUAAAACAAGGCAUCCUAAGGAAAAGGUCUACAUAAGGCUAAAAGUAUCAUAUAAGACCACUGGAACUUACACAUCCUUCCCUUCUGAAAUCUUUUCAGCUUUGAUUUUAUGAAAAGCUUCCAGCUCUUCUGAAUUCACGAAGAGUAAAUCAUUAGAAAGUUAACUUUUUGAAAACAUGAAUAUAGAUAUAAAUGAAAUACACAAUCUAACAUGCAUAAAUAUACAUGUAUAAAAUCAAAACUUACCUUUAUUAGUAGCUUCGUGCAGUGGAAUAUUCAAAGAAAGAAUGUAGUCAAGCCUUUUAUUAUAAGUAACCUUUCCAGAUGAACACAAGAUACGCUCCUCAACACCAAACUUGAAACUCCUUGAGGGAUCCACUUCAGGUUUCACAGCAUUUGAACGUUCAACUUGGUCAAGAAAAUGAAGGAAGAAUUCCAAUGCAUCCUACAGAAUAAUUCAAGUGUCCACAUGAGACAAUGAUGGCUACAUGGAGAGAACUUCAUGCCCCCCAAGACUCAUCCAAUGUUGUGCAAUGUUAGAAUUAACAUGCAGAAGCCCAGAUUGCAAUGCUGUAUAUGGUCAGUUAGUUACAUUGCUAUAUCUAAAACUAGAACUCUAAGUCAAACUAACAUUGCUAUAUCUAAAACUAGAACUCCAAGUCAAACUAUGGAAACUAAAAGAACCAUUUUCAUGUGAACUGGAAAGGUGGAAAAAUAAAGUUAAUGAUAGAAACCAAAUGAUAAUUUCAUAGUAGAAGUAGUAAAAUCAGCAUACUUGUUGUCUCAUAGUAGAAAACUCAGGAUGGCUGGCUGCAAUAACUGCUUUGAACAUGCGAGGGGGGAUCCCUUCCUGUUUCUAAUAUUUUCAAAAGGUUGACAAAUGAAAAGAGAAAAGCGAAGUUAAGAGGCAACUGUCAAGAUCAUAAAAAUAUAUAGAUAGAUAUAUGAGAAAUAUUGAUUACACAAAUUCUAUCUGCAAGCAUCUCAUUCAAGUCAACAUAGAAUCUAUAAACAGAUAAUAACAUCACCGAUAGAUUUCAUGCAAACACUUGUGAUUAAGCAUAUCUAAGUUGCAUAGCACAAAUUUUAUUACUAAAACUAUGGCCAAUCAGAAACUUGCAGGUUGCAAAUAUAAUCACAAUAUAGUUAGAAACUCAAGUGACAUAAUCUAAGAAUCUCCAAGAUCAGACCAAACUCAGCAUAGAUAUUUAGUGGGAAGCUUACAGCAUCUGUUGUUGCGGGUGCAGCAGUUCCAUCCUUCUGCAUGACCAAAAAGUUAAUUGAUUAAUUCAUUAAUCAGGAAAAAAUCCAACUGUGUUAAGGCAAAUAGAUUGAAAUGAUUGCUAUACCUCUAAUGCUGGUACAGAAUAUUUACCAGAGAGCAAACCAUGUGCUAGUUUUGUUCUGCCAUACAACCAGGAAGUGGUUACAUAUCAUUGGAUUAGAAGUAGCAAGAGGAAAUGAAUAUUAUACUACUUAUCAAAUACACAGCAGAAUAAAACAGGCAAUGAAAUACCAAAUCAAUUAACAUAAAGGACCACCAAGUAAUCUUUGGCAAGAAAUACAGCAAUAAUCAUUACUACCAACAUUAAGGAAACUAUUUAAACACAUAAUAUAUUGAAAUUUAGGAAUUAAUAACCACAAGAAUGGUAACUUACAACUGCAUAUUCAGGUCUACAGUUGGAUCAGCUGGGGCUGUCUCAAAAGCCAUUUUUAAGCUUUGGUUCAUAUAGUAUCUGAUUGCAUAGUCAAAGUAGAAAAGGCAAAAAAAAAUAAGCAUAGUAAAUUCCAAAUAUAAGUGGAUUUACUAAAUUAGUUAAAUGUAUGAACAUUAUAAUUUACCUUCUACAAAACAAAUGUGUUGAAAACACCACUUGCAUGGUUGCUGCCAUGUAGCAGCUACAUGAAAAAAAAAAUUAGGUAAUCAGAAACAUCAAAACACUAAAUUGUGAUUGGUAGCCCUGCAUCACAAUCAACAUUACCUGUUUCCAAGAUUCACAAGACCUGUAUAACCUGGUCCAAAAAUUGGUUCCACAUCCUGUCCGCUUUCUUGAAUUCUAUUCCAAUCAAAGUUGGUAUUCUGGUCAAGCUCCCUUUCAGCAGUUGUCAUUUCAGUCUGGAAACAAGGAAAUUAUUUUAAUUUCUAACUAGACAUUAAAUCAUUUAUAAACACAACAAUAUUUUUUUAUCUUUUUUUCUGGUAAGCUUUGAAACUUACAUGCUAAAGUAACCAUAUCACUCCUUUACCACUGAAGCUAAUGCCCAUCAAAUUUAUACACAUUAUAGUUCUAGUCAAAAAGGUAAAAUUCAUUUAUGGAAACUCCAACCACGACAAAAGUUAAAGACAUUAAGGCUAACACAGUUCGUUUUUAGCAAAAGUUAUCAUUCUAAAAGCAAUAAUUACAUGAAAAGGUUUAGAUAUAUCAAAGUAUCAUCAAGGGGAUUCUUUGAAAAGGGAUUGUGCAUCAAACUUAGGGAUUCCAGACAACUGCCUGAAUGGUAAGAGAAAAAUGAAAUUGCCAUGGAUAAUAAAUAAAAAAAGUAGAAUAGAAAUUUAAUUACAUAACAAAAUUGCAUAUUGCAACUACACUAUCAUGACGCUACAUGCAUCUUAAGGAGUUUAAACAAGCAGUAGGCAGCAAAUUAUUAAUCAACAAGGAAAAGCUAACCUUUUGCAAUGAUGAGAAAUUCAAUACCAAAAUAUGCCAAAGUUGUGCUAGAAAGUGGGUCUAAAACACUAUCAUCCUCUGGGUAGGAGGAAAACAUCUUGCAGCUGCACAAUAAGUUACCAUGGUUAAGUUCUUGACAAAAUGUCCCACCAAUGCUCAAAAGACAAGAUAAUUAUCAAAGUGCAUUUUCAGUGCCAAAAACCACAGUUUAAAACAAAAAUUAUGUAGGGUUGAGUUCUCAUGUAUAACAGAGAGCAGAAAUAGUUCAUACCAAUCAUGGAUCAAUAAGAACUUACUAAAACGACACCAGAAACAAACACAAAUUGACAGAGAAAUACAAGGAAACAUUACCUGCUGCUUCCAGAUCAGCAGUAAUGGUCCCAAGCUUUACAGCAAGAGGAUAGCCAGUCUCCUUGUAAUGAUCAAUGGCAUGGUUGUUACCACCAGUUCCAUCCCAAUUUCUCCUCCCACACAGGAUCAUUCCAUCAGUAAGAUUUAACCAGAGAUUUUCUGUUUUAUCGCACUUAGCACAUUUCCAACCAGCUGGAGGAACAACAACACUGCCAAUUUGCCGUAAAUCCAUUGCAUAUGCACUUAUUUGCUUCUUAUCAGCCGUCCAGGCUGCAACUUGCUCUUUACGCUCAGCGCCUUCUGCCAUUAAAAUAGAAUCGACUGCCAACCUUACCUACAGUGUUUGUAUGGAGUAACCAAGCCAGGUUCUUGUCCAAGAUGAGGAAUUUGAUCUUUUAAAUUAAAAUUCUAAGAAAUAAAAAAUGAGACAAGCAAUACCUUCUCUGGCAACUCCACAGAUGGAAAUGGAAGAGCUACAUAAUCAGGCAAAAUGACUAUAUUGUGGGUUUCUUCAUAUUCUGCGUUCAUUGUUGUCAAAUCCACCAUCGGAUACCUAUAAAUCAAAUUGCACAGAAUUAAUCUCUUUCACCCUAACAGAUGGUACUAAGAAAAUUGUGAACUUUUAUCAAUUUGAAGUUCUCGCAUGGGUUCCACAUUGCAGAGUCCUACAGGCAUCAAACAUGCAACAGCUGUAAACAUGCUAGCACACAGAUAAAUUAGUUCAACUUUUUCAUUAAACAGUUGCAAGCACCAUUUAUACUCCCAACUCAUUAUCAAAGAAAUAAAACAUACUGGCCUGGGGAGUGCAUUGCCAAAUGGUCUCAACCUAUGAUGAAUAUGAGUUUGACAUGGGUAUUUUCAUCGUUUUCCAUUAUAUUUUGAGCCCCGGGACAUCAAACCAAAUGUCUAUACUUUGAGGUGUCAGAUAUCCAACAUGACUACUUCAGGAAAAACUAAGUGGAACACAAACAGGCACUACUCUCAAUUCCUUAAAAGUCACUUCUUCACACAAGAACCAGAACAGGAUAACACAAUGUAUAACAAUGCAACAACAAAUUAACCACACCAUAACCGGUAUAAAAAGAAGGAUAAUAAUAUCGUAAAAGUACCAAUAGCCAAAAGUGUGGGUUUCUUCAAAGGCCUAUCUUCCGGUACCAACUUUUUCGUUUGCUUAAUAUGCAAAUAAACUGGAUUUCCAGUCUUCUCAUAGUUCCAAACGACAUAGUCUUUACCAAAAGCUAGAAACGUAUUCAUAUCAACAAACAAUCCUCCUUCUGAUCUCUGCAAAAAUUUAACCUCAUUUGAGAGUUCUUAGUAAUUUAAACAAACAAAACCUAAACAGCUUAAUAAAAGAAGGGACAAACUUUAGUAAAAGAAUUAAACGUUACUAAACUCCGUCGGCAGCCAAACUAAAAAAUGCGAUUAAAAAAUAGCGAAAAUUUCCAAUAAACAUUCUCGAAAGCCAAACAAUAAAGUGAAAACACAUAGCCUAUCAAGUUAAUGUUUUUAGUUAAAACUAGUCACCAGCAAUCCAGUAAUUUCUCCAGAAACAGACGGAUAAUUUCGAAAAAAAUCUUGAAAAGAAAAAGGUACCGGAGAAUCGAACGAGAGGCAGCAUUCUUGCUUGUAGAUACGAUUGGUGGGUUCGGGGAUCCGAACCCGAGAGAGAUUGGAUCGGAGCAGAUCCAAAGGGUUUAUCCCCUCCAUGUUUGUUUUGGUUUGGUUUUUUUGAGAGUGAAAGAGAGGAAAAGAACAAGAUUUUUGCCCUAAAGCUUAAGCAAAUGCAAAGACUUUUUUUUUUCUUCUUUUGCGCCCAAAGAUUGCUUUUUUUUUUUCUUUAAUUGAAAGAAAGGAACAAAAGUUGAGUGUGCUUUUGAAACAAGUCCUAUCUGAAUCAACUUCAAACCUCUUUGGACAAGAAAAAAAAAAAAGGGUUUUCAUUUCUUUUUCCUUUUUCUUUUGAUUUUUAAAAAAUAAAAAAUUUUAAAUCUCUAUUGUAAAAGUUUUGAGCCAAAAUCUCAACAAAAUUAUUUAUAGUGUAUGAUUUUUCUUGAGAUUUUUUUAAGGACAUUAAAUUAAUUACAAGUCAUGAGUAAUUAUUUUAAUAUGUAUUCAUAGUAAAUGGUUGGAAAUUUAAUAGUUUAUUCAAAUUAACACUAUCAAGCUACCGUUGCAUAUUUUUAAGAUUAUCAUGAUAAUGUAAUCAAUAAAAGUGAUUAUAUUACAAAAUAAUUUUAUCACUUAUGAUUUAAAAUUAUUUAUUAUUUAAGAAUUAUUAAUUCAUAUGAAUUAAAUAUUAUAUGUUGAUAUUAAUAAAAAUUAAAUAUUAUUUUAUUUAAAAGUACGUAAAAUAAACAUUUUUAUUAUAAUAAUUAAACAAAUUAAUGAUUUAAAUAUUGUUUAAAGAUAUUACAACAAUAACAUAUUAAAUUUUAUAUCCCAUACUCUUUGAGUUAUAUAAAAUACCAAAUAAGAUAAUCGAGUUGGUUGUAAUUUAAAUAUUUUUGCACCAUUCAUUUUUAUAAAUAACAACUUUUUUAUUUAAUUUCUUAACUAUCAUAUUGUUUUUUAGUAUUUGCUUUCAUGUUUUUCGUGAUUUAUAUUUAGAAUAUUUUAUUUAUUUUAUAAUCAAUAUAAUUAAAAUUAUUAAAUAUGUUUAUUUAUUAAGAAACUAAUUUUUAUAGUAUAAAUUAUACAAAAAAAUAUUUGAAUUAAAAUAUAUAUCUAUUAAAAUUAUAAUAAAAAAUAAAGACGUUAUAUUAUAUAUAAAAUAUCAAAAAAAUACAAAUUAUUUUUGAAUUUAUUAUAAUGAAGAUUAAUUUUAAACUAUAAAAAUUUAUAAUAUAAAAUAAUUACAAUUUUAAGAGAAAUCAAAAUUUUAAUUCAUAUAUUAAAUAGAUAAUAUUGAUUAUUAUUAAUUUUUAAAAUAAUCACCACAUACUAAAUGCUACCAAAAAAAAAAAAAUUUUCUGGUUUGUGAGGAAAAAGUAUUCUCUCAAUUAUUAGUUGGAAAAACAAAUAACUGGCAGUGAAUAAGAGAUAAAAAGGGAUCAUAAAUGAAAUAUAUCUUUUAUUUAUAAAAUUAUGCUACAACUUUUUAUAUAAAAAAAUUAUAAUAUCAAUUUUAUUUCAAAAAUACAUAUUUUUUGAAAUAAAAAAAAUUUAAAAUAAUUAAAAACAAAAAAUAAUUAAAAUUAAAACAUUAACAGUUUUUUCAUCUCAUUCUUAAAAUUAAAAAAUUACAUUAUUAGUAAAUAAAAAAACUCUGUGUAAAUGGGUUUGGAGAAAGUUUGAUGCAAGUUUUCUAUUGGAAUAACAUUGACUUCCUCUUGUACUUUUUCAUUCCUUGUCCUUAUCUUCUUGUUCUUGGUAAAAAAAAAUAUUCACUUCCAUUAGACAAAGGAAGAAGUUAAUAUAGGCUGUAUGCAUAUAAUAUUAUUGUUUUGGUUUUUGCAUAAUUGGCAAUAGUUUAGGGUCCCAUGAAAUGAUGUACACCUAACAGCAAAUAAUGCUGCAUUGAAACUCCAGCAAUUCCUUAUUCAACUUGUUUUAUAUGGGAAAAGAAUAUUGGAUAUAUGUCAAUUUGAACAAUAUAACUUCAAUCUUAACCUUGAGAAUUUGUUCAACGAAAUGACAAAAAGAGAAAUAAGCAUGCUAAUUCAACAAAAAUCUUCUACAAAAUAAUAUAUAAAUUCAGAUUCACAUAGAUGUUACAAAAUGCAAUCCCCUAGUCAAAUCUGAACCAUUAAAAGACUUUCAAUUCUAACCUUUUUUUUCAAACAUUAACUUGUUUCAAAUAUUACACACCUUCCAUUGACAUUUAAUUCCAUUAGGAACAUCAAACAUCAACAUUGUUGCUGCAGUAACUAUCUCUUGCAAUAUUCUUCAGUCACUGCUGCCAUUGUUGUUGACAUUAUGUCGUCGAUGAAUUCAAGGGAGUUGAGGCUAGAAGAAGGUGUCGAAUAGAAGUGACCUGAAGUUAAAUGCAAAUUUGGGAUGUUUUCAGAAAAAAAAGUUUGGUUUUGACCAGCCAAAGAGUUGAUAUUGGAUUGAUUAAAUUCAUGGUAGCCAUAGUUUUGCAUGGGAAAAAAUCCCUUUGAAUUACUGACAUUAAUAUUCUCUCUGUCAUAUUCUUGCCACAAGUUAGGUAGAGUACUAUUUUGGCAAGUUAGGCUGGUGGGGUUUGUAGAAAAAUGGUUCAAAUUGGCUUGCAAAAUUUGGGUGCAAGCUUGAAUUGGAUUCUGAACCUGAUUUCCCUGGUAGAAUUCAAAUUGGUUUUGGCAUUGGAAAUUCCCUGUCUGGUUUUGUUGAACAUUUCCAGGAGUAGUACCAAUUUCCAGGUUCUUGUUCUGGGAUGACAUAAGGGCUGUGGCUAAGUUCAGACAGUUUGGGUUGAACAUUGAUCCAAUUCCAAGCAAACCUGUUGGAUUAAGCUGAGAAGAAUUGUAGAGAGAUGAGCUCAGAAGUGAGGAGAGUUCAAGAAGAUCAAGACGAGGACUAUGAGUUACAGGAUCAAUUCCCAUUCUCAAUAAUUUCUUCUUGAUGUGAGUGUUCCAAUAGUUUUUGAUCUCAUUAUCUGUCCUUCCAGGCAACCGAGUAGCAAUAGCAGACCACCUAAGUUUACAGCAAAAAAGAAAAAAAGAGUAAAUCAGACAGUACUAAACAAACAUGUUCGAUGAAAUUGCAGUAGUUUGUCUUUUGUUUCUUACAAAAAAGAAAGCAUGUCUGAUGUGCUUUCCCUUUUCAUCAUUGACUUUGCUCUAUAUUAGUCCAUAACUAGUAGGUAGUUAAGUUAAUUAUUCUUAAUAUAAAAUAUAAAACAAAAGGAAAAUAGGUUAAGAACACUAUUAAUCAGUUGAUUAAUACACUUACUUGUUUCCUAAAACACUGUGUAAUUGUAUUAUAAUUUCCUCUUCUUCCAAUGAGAACUUCCCCCUCUUGAUAUCAGGUCUCAAGUAGUUCGUCCAUCGAAGCCGGCAACUUUUUCCACACCUCUUUAACCCUACAAUAAUGAAACAUGGAUUAUGCAAAGAGAUCGAGUGCUAAAUCAUAUAACAUAAAAAAAAAAAACCUAACUCGAGCUUUUGGUUCGAGAUUUAAGAUUAAACUAUCAUAUAAGAGUAUAACGGGUUUUGAAUUAAAACAUUCACGAGACGUAAUCUUGAAAGUUUUGAAAUACCUGCAUUUUGGGAAGGGUACGCCAUCUCCCAUGCCCAUGUUUUCGAAAUAAUCAAUCAAUUUUGAUCCUCCUCCGCAGUCAUGGACCUUUUUUCAGUCCAUUUUUGUCACAACAAGGAGGUUUCCCCAUUUCCAAAAGUAUUCUCUUUAAGACAACAAAUAACCCUAAAAUUUGCCUUCUUGGAUAAAGAAGAAGCUGAGUUGAAGUAUAAACUUUGGAAACACAAGUCAUGUAAUGCACGAAGAAACAUAUGUAUAUAUAGAUAGAGGAAAUCAAAGAAGCAAGCAAAGGAAAAAAGUUUGGACAAGUCAAGGGAUUUGGUGCCGGCCAAUUGAAACGUGUCUUCUCAUGAAGAAAAAAAACACGGCACACAAAAACAUUAAAAACAGUCAUCUUCUAAUUCCUUAGUUUUGUACAGUGGAAGAACAAGCUUUAACUUAACAAAUAUUUACUAAAUUGAUCACAAAUCAUAUGAUUUAUCGAUAAAAUAUUAAAAUUAUAAUUCAAAUAAUUAAAAAAAUCAUAAAUUUUAGGAAUAAAAAAUAAUUAAAGGAUGUUUUGGAAAUUUUAGUUUGGACAUGACAAGUACCCAUUGGUUAGAAAUAUAAAUGAUUUAACAUAAAUUCAAGAUUUACAUGAUUAAUGUAAUAAAUUGUGAACGGUGGAUUUGUCUCUUCUUAAUUUUGGUCAAGACCUCUAUUUUUUUUUUUUAAUCAAAUCCUAAAGCAGGUUGACACAUGUUCAAAAAAAAAUAAAUAAAUUUUCCCUCCAAUUUGAUUAUAUUUUUUUAACCUUUUUAGUCAAACUAUUAUAGCUGUCUCCAACAUUUUCUUGCCACGAGAUAGAAUGAUGGAUGGACAGAGACCACUCAUCACUCAUCGCAUGGCUCUAAAGCUCAUUCUCACAAGCCGGCUAGCUCAUCUUUCUUUUCUUUCUUUAUAUUUGCUUUUCAAAAUUACUGUUUCUGCAUAUUUCUCCUUUCUAAGCAAUAGAUAUUGUUUUCAAAUUGGUAUUUCAAUGCGAUAUAAAUUAUUAUAUUUUUGGUUGAAUGUAAUUUUCUUACAACGUAAAUUUUAUUAUUCAAAUGAAAUUAGGGCAUUAAAAUGAUCAAAUUGAUCAUGAUUACGGUAACACUUUAAACAUAAUUUGCUUCCUCGUGAGAUUUAAGAAAGAUUAAAUAAUGAUAUAAAUUCAAACAUUAAACCUCAAUUUACGCUAAAAAAAAAGAUAAUUAUUUAAGUUUGAGCUGUUUCGGAAAGUUUAAGGAUAACUAUACCAUGCCCUAUCUCUCUCAAAGAAGGGGGUUACAUGCAAAAGUUUCCUCUCCCAAGUGUUUGGCUAGUAGGUAAAAAGGAAGCUGCUUACUUUUUGAUGGUGCAUGUAACCUAACUUCAAAAAAGAGCAUCUCCUUGUUCUGUGUAUUGCUUCAUCAAGAUGUAUAUUAAUUACUUCCCAUGUUCAUUAUUACAUUAGCAGAUACAAAGAAAUUAUAUCACUAUUCUCUUUUUUUUUUUCCUUUUAUCAAUAAGAUUUUCAAGAAAAAAAAAAGGCUUUAUCAAAUUAAUAAGAUUAUGAACCUAUUCGUUGAAUUGUAAUCUUAAUGCGAUAAAAAUUCAUUCUCAUGGCAUCAGUCAUUACUUUGAUAUAUUGAAAAUGAAUUUCCACCGCAUUGAAAUCAUUACUUUUCGAACUACUUAUCAAACUAAUCAACUGUAUAAUCCUAACUAAUCAGGUCAAAUUCCCAUGAAUGAGAGAUUCAAAGUUUUUUUUUUUUUUUUGUUGUUGUUCUGGCAGAGAAUCAAAGAUUUUAUGAAUAGUUCUACUUCGCCAUCAUGAUUUGAAAGGAGAAUAAAUGAGUUAGGGAAAUAAAAGAUUGAAUUCAAAGUGAAAUUAGUUUGAAUAUUCACACUAUAUUAUUUCAUGAACAAUGGAUUAAACACAGUAUUCAUGGAAAAGCUCUUCUUAAUUCACUGUUUAUUUUGAUGGGAUUGAUUGACUAGAAUUUGGAUUUUUCAUUCAAAGUGACCAAGUCUCAAAUCCCAUUCACAGUUUUGAUUGGCACAGACAUUUAAUUCAAGGAAAAAGAAAAUCAGCUUGAAUUGACUGAUUAAUAACAUGAACAGAUCAAAAUUUUCAGUUAUUUGACCAUCCUUUCAUGGUAUUGCGUCUCUCUUUGCCUGCUUCUACUUUAUGUAACAACAUUUGAAACAAAGUGCAUGAACUCUCACCAGAAAGAAAAAUUUUAGUACUACUUUCCAACCAACCAAAGCUUUUUGUUGGAGACAAAUGUUAUUUUGAGAAACAUGAAUCUUCCUUUGAGAUAUUAUGAUUUAAUAUUAAAUUUUUCAUCAUAUUUUCGAUUUCGUCGAUUUUAGAGAAAACAUAAGCGGGAAAUUUAUGAACAAUUUCAUUAUUUUUGUCUCAAAAUAAAAAAAAAAUUAAAGUUUAACGACACAAUUCAACAUUCACCCAAUCUUUAUAAAUAUAUAUAUGUAUAUAUUUGUCCCUUAGUAUAUUGGUUUUAUAUAAUAUACUAUAUAACACCAUAUUUUUGCAAGAAAUUCAACAGCAGAAAUGUGAACUGCUGCUGUCUGUUACAUACUAUGAUAUGCCCACAGAAACUACCCAUGAUGUCCAUGUUAUGUGGAUUGAAAUUGUUUCCUAUUUUGUUAGGUCCCCACCACUUUUUAUCUUGGAAAUUAAUGAGCUGUGUAGAAAUUUUCAAUUGUUUGGAGUUUUUAUUGUCAAUAAAAGUUUGGGGCAAAGUUUUGAAAUUAUGAUUUUGGGAAUUUAAAGUUAGUUUGGGUCAUGGUUUCGUGGAAAGAUAGCCACCAUAAUUUAUGUUGCCUUCAUAUGAUAGCCACCAUAAUUCAUGUUGCCUUCAUAUGACUCUUGCCUUUGCCCCUCUUGUUCAAACAGUGAACAUGAUACACAUUCAGAACACUACAUUUCUUUUAAUUUUUUACAAACCAAGGAAGGUGUCAUCUAAAAACAAGAGAAUGAGUUACAAAUAUUAAAAUUUAAAUCUCAAACUUGCUAAUUAUCAUCUUUUAAAAGUAAUUAUAUAAAUUAAUUGAACUAAAUAUCGUAUUUAGAACAUCUCCCGUUUUUCUAAAUUAUUAGUUUGAAGUUUUGCAAGUUUUACAACUAAUAAUGAACAAAGAAGUGAAAGACUGGUGCCCAAACAUCAGAAAAUUCCUAAGCAACAUGUUGAAAUUUUAAAUUCACAAUCUAAUUAUGUGCUUAUUCACACACAAGUCAUUUGUCAUAUAUAAUCAAAAGAUUACUCAUAUUUGCGCUUAAACAUUUGAUUCAAUAAUAAAUUCAUAUAUUUUGUCAUUCAAAAAAUGAAUUUAAAUCCUUUAUCUUCAUAUCAAAAUAGAAAGAAACUACACAUGUUUAAUUAGUUUCAACUUGUAUGAAUGUCUUUUCUAUUUAUUUUUAAAGAAAAAAAUCUUGUAAUAUAGGUCCAAUCAACCAUAUUAUCACUAGAUACUUCCUGUUCUGACUUCCUAACCAACAUUCACGCAUAACAGCUAGAUUUCAUUUACGAUUUAGUGGAAACCAACGGAUUGGGGACUGAUCAUAAGAAGCUGGCUAGGAAGAAGGGAAUAUAUAGUAACUUUUGAGCAUUGAAUUAUUGUGAAUUUAGCGUGCCCUUUAAGGUUCAAACCAUGGGUUUUCCAAGUCAACAAUGAAGUGAUGGAAGUGAAAUUAAGAAAUGACAAUGAGAAAGGCAAUUCCCCAUCGUUUUUCUUCUUGAAAUUUGAAGGUUGGGUGGUGACAAAUGACAUAGAUGUGAACAUUUAGGAAAGCGAAAGGUAGGGCCUCGUUUCAAUUAUCAACUCAUCAUUAUGAUGCCAAUGAAAAUGGAUGGAUGCCUCUGAAUUUACGUAACAUUAUUGGUUCCUACCAAUUGAGGUCAGUCCUUACAUCAAAUCAAAUCAGCAGUGACAGGAAACUUUGCGAUUCCAUUGCAAUAUUGAAAAUGCCAAUAAAUUGGUCCAUCUGAUUUGUUAGAAGCUAAAUUUUCUUAAGUUAAGACUUCGAUUCAUUAUUUUUUUUAAGAUAAAUUUUCAUAAGUUUGAAGCAUUUUUCUUUAAUAAUUUUCUUAAAACGUUGCUUACUUGUAAAAAAAAUGCCAAUAAUAUUCACUUUAAUUUUUUUACUAUAUAUUUUUAAAAUAAAUAAAUUUAUAAUUUUCUCGAUUGUAGAUCACUUUUUGAUGUUUCUCAUCAAAACUUGAUUUUUUGUUAAAUUAGAGAUAAAUAAUUUCCGGUGAAAUACAUAAAUUAAAUAUUAGAAUUUCAAAUUUUCGAUAUAAAUUUAAUAUUUGAAUAUAUUCUAAAGAGAAGGGAAAUAUAUAUAUAUAUAUGAAUAGAUAUUUAUAUAUAAAUUUGAAUUUUAAUGAAUUAACCUUUAUAUGUAUGAUAAAAAUGAAAAAUAAUAAAUAAAUUCGACCAUGUAUUAAUAAUAUAUUAUUACCGACGAAAAUUAUUCUGCCGGUAUUACUAUGUUCCCUAAAUCGUUCACUUUCCAAAAAAAAAACUAUACAUACCAAGGAGCAUAAAGCUAAAGGGAAGAAAAAUAAUAAAAACAUUAAAAGAAAAAAAUUUAGACAAAGCCAUGGCUUGAGCAAGUAUUUGGCUAAUGUUUGGGCUAAUCUUGACUUUGAUAAAUACCUAAUUAUUUUCACACCGACUUGGUAAUAAAUUUAGUAACGUGGAAAAUGUUGUAACAAAAACAUGAGGCAUUUUCGUUGGCUUUGUGUGGUCCAAAUUUAAUUUAAAGCAUUGGGCAAUUUUUUUUAAACAAACAUUUUAUAACAGAUAAGCCUAAGAUUAAAAGAAAAAAUAGCAAUGUCCCCCACAGCAUUAUUGUUCAAUAAAAAACGACAAUCCUUUGGUCAAACAUUAUUUAAUAUCAAGUAAGAUUUGCUGCCAUUAUAUGAUGGAGGUUUCAACAAACCCCAUUAAUUUUUUUUUUUUUUUAACAAAGAAGAAAACACCAUACCCUCUUUUGCUUUUUGCUUUGACAAUUCUCACCUUUUGGAGUAUUAUAAUUUCUUAUUAAUUUCUAACCUACAUUAUUCACUAAUCCAUAUAUAUAAUUAGAUUUGAAUGUUGAAGAUCGAAAAAAAGUCUUAAAAAGAUAAGGUUUGGAUUGACGGAUGUUAUUCGUUUUUCAGGUUUAAAAUUCAAAUCUUUUUUUUUUUUUGAAUUUCUUCGUAUAUGCCAAAAAGAAAAGAGUUUAAUAAAUAUUAAUUUGAAUUUAAGUUUUACAAUUUUAUUACAAGUAUAAUUACUCUAUCCACUUGUUUAAAUCUUAGAAAGUCCUUAUUUAGUAGAAAUCUUAGGCUUAAGAAUAUAGUUAUUAAUUAAACUCAUAUUUUCUAUAUAAUAAAUUAAAUCUUAACUAUGAGCAGCUAGGGUAAUUGUAUUAAUUAAAUAAUUAAUUAAUUAAUUAAAAGUUUUCAUUAUGAAUUUAAGUUUUUCUUCUAGGACUAGGAAGGGCCAAAUGAAUUUUUAAGUGUUGCAAAGUUUUCUAAUGAUCUCAUAGAUUUUCAAAAAUCUGGCUUUCAUGAUAAAAGAAAAUUGUUAACUAAUGCCACAUAUAUACACUACCUCAUUUGCUUGCUAAACCUUCUCACCCCAUUACUAAAUUGCCUUAAUUUCCACUCAAAGCAAUUUCUAGAACACUGAAAGUGAUGCUCAAGAGAAUGACUUUAACCCAAAAAAGUACUAUUAAUUGAAUUUUUUAAUUAUCAUAUUAAACCAAUUUUUAUUCAAAAUUACAUAUUACUUAUUAUAACCUAAUUAUUACUUUAAUCUUACAGCAUAAUGGCCCAAAGAAUUUCUAAGGUAUAAAUUAAGGUUUUGAUAUUUGCUUAGAACAUAAAAUUACUUACUCAUUAUGGUAAGGGAAUAAAUAAUCUAGGCUUAGAAUUUUUAGUUAGUAUAUGACAAUAUUAUACUUGUAAAGUCAUUAUUGUUGCUUUUAAUUUUUCUUUUAAUAAUGGGUAGCCUAUCUAAUUCUGUUAGUAUGAUUCGUUUUUUUUUUUUUUUGCAUACCUAAUUUCAGAUAAUAUUUUGUCCUAAUAAAUAGUUAUAUAUAAGGUCAGAAUAUUGGAAAAUUUUGAGAUGUUAGUACAAAUUCGUGGCAUAUUUAUAAUAAAAAAUUUAAUUUUCAUCAAUAUUCAAUGUUAUUUUUUAUUGGAUCACAAUUUCAACCCUUUGAAAACAACAUCUUGGAUCACAACUUCAAUCAUUUGAAAACAAUAUCCCUUCAUAGUUCAUAUCUUUCAAUAGUAAAGGACGAUCGAUUUUCAUUACCAAUAAUUUCUUUUGGUGGAUAAUAUGUAAAUAUAAUAUAAGUCUUUGUUGAGACCUAUGGUAUGCCCUCAUCUUAGAAUGGAAUAAUCGUCCCUCACCUAAACUUUUUCAACAAAAAAAAAAAAAAGGAAGACAAAGAAAUUUAAUUAUAAUAUAUUUUGAUUUCUUCUGUCUAAUAGACUAAUACUAUAAUAUAGAAUUAUAAAUAUAUAAGUAAUUAAUUCUUUCAAUUAUGAAUUUUUCAUGAAAUAACAUGAAGAGGAAGACUAACUAGCCAGGUUAAUUAGUUGGUAGAUAUCCUUAUAUUCCUAGAUAAACCCAAUUGCAUUAUUCAUGAAAAUGACCUUAAACACAAUUUAAUUUUCAACACUCAAUUAUACUUCCUAGUAACUUGUUACUUUCACUAAUAUUAGUUAAUUUCAUGAAACCAUAACCUAAUCAUACUGUCCUUAUAUGUUUGGUAGCUAGGGAAUUUUCAUAGGUUUUACUGAAAUACCUUGAGAUUUCAUAUGUUUACAACAUUAUAUUGUACACUUAUAAUACUUGAUAUGUUACACAAAGAAUUCUAAUUUUGGCUGAUGAAGAAGUAAAAAUAAUAGUCAUUGUAGUAAAAUUUUGUUCUAAAAUUUUAGUUGUUGGUUGCAUGAAAAUUUUCAGACAAAUCAAGAGUCUUGCAUCGGUGAAUUUUUUACCAAAAUAGUACACGAAUUCGAUAGACUAUCUAAAACAUAAUAAUAAUAAUAAUAAUAAUAAUAAUAAUAAUAAUAAUAAUAAUAUGUUUGUAUAUAUUAAUUAAUCAAAAGCAACUUAAUUUAAUUAUUUGAUUUUUUUUUUUUUAGAUUUUGCUCUCAUAUAUGCGUACAUGGUUGAUGGUUCAUAUAUAUUUUAGGGUUUAUAUCAUGCAAAUUACGUAUGCGAGAUAUGGACUAGGUAUUGUCCUUCCUAUAUUGUGGAUUUUAAUCCGUAUCAAUUAUUUUUUUUAAUUUCCAUUUCUUCUUUUAGAAAAAUUAUUUUACAUGAAAUAUGCUCCACGUCCAUGUAACGAUCCAUAAGAGAUUUAUUAAAAAAAUUUCUUAAUUUGAAGUAUAUUUUAGGAGGAACUGAUCAUCAAGCACAACUCAAGAAUCAAAUCCCAAGUUUUUUUUUUUUUUUUUAAUUUGAAGAAUAUUUUAGAAGGAAAUUUCUCAGUGAGAAGACACCUGACUUUGAAGCAGCGGCAAUUUCAUGAACUUUCUGAGAAAAAAAAAAAAAACAAUGCUUUGAUGUGGCUGUUUGGUGAGCAUUGCAUCAGAUUUUUGUAUGUUUUAAAAGCAUGGGAUUGGAAAUUGAAGAAAUUAUAUAUAGAAAUCAGAUAAUAUAUUUCUGCAGAUGUGCAUGGAUGAUGAGCAGAAAGCUUGUUUCUGCUGAAGAAAUUGUUUGCAGGUCAAACUAGAACUGAAGAGUUUGUUAACCAAAUCAAAUAUGCAUGUGCAAAACUGAAGAAUUCACCUACUUUUACUGGCACUAUUCGGAAAACAGAGAAUCAGAUAUAUAUUAGCUAUGAUGACGAGUAAAAGAUUCAAUGUUUCAAUCAAUAUAUAAAUUUAUAUAUAUGAAUAGAUCUGUCCUUGAAUUGGGUUAUUUAUUUGUUUCGCGAGUUUAAUUUGAGUCGUUUAUUAGCUUUAGAAAAAGAGUCUAAUUUUUGUUUUAAUAAUAAAAUUUAUUUUUUAUUUAACUUUAAAACAUAUUUUAAAAUAAUAAUAUUUUCAUAUCUUUAAAUAUUUAAUAUAUAUUUUUAAAAAUCAAAUCUCUUGAGUACAAUAAAUCGAACUUGAUUAAAUUUUAUACAAAACUUUUGUAUAGUUUGAUUGAAUUUGAUCCAUUCGAAUCGAUCCGACUCAUUCACUAUUUGACUUAUUUACACAAAUUAUGCACAUUAAUUUUGUAUAAUAUCCAAAGGCAAAAUAUGUCAAAAUAAUGUUAUUUAUAGAGAGUUUAAUAUCAUGAUCACAUCACAAUAAACAUUUCAGAUGAUAAGAUUCAAAAUUUAUAUAUGUUUAGAAGCUAUCACAAAGGUAAGAGUCAAUGAGAUUUGCAAUGGGACCAAAUAAGUUAGUAGCUGACUAAAUAUUUAAUUAAUCCAAUAAUCUGUCUUAUCUUGCCAGGCUGCCAAUCAAUUUUUUAUGCCAAAAUUCUUCUCUUUUUGAUAAUUGAUGAAUUAAAUCAGCACUAAUUAAUAAGAUUUUUUUUUUUUUCAAAUGAUUUUGCAUUACAUAUUAAAAUAAGAUUCUUGUCUUGCCAUUGGAAACACCAUACUCUUUCUUAACACAAAUUAUAUACCUUAAAAGCAAUCUAAUUGAGUAAAUUGUCCUAAAUCUAGGGCUUGCUUACCCUUUAUUAUGUAAGUUGACAUGUUGAAUUAAAUUAAUGAAUUCAUUUUUAUAAACAGAUUGUGAAAUUUUUAAUAUAGUAAUUCUAUUUGUGGAGUCUAAUACUCUACUAACUAUGACUGAAAUAAUAUUUCUAAAUUAAUUAAGUUCCAAAUCCAAUAAUUAUUGCCCCAAUUAUUGUUAAUUAAUUUGUGAUUAAAAAAUAUUAAGAAAAUGAGAUCCAGCCUUAUGUAAGUGGUUUUAGAUCAAGUAAAGGUCACGAAUCUUGAUAUUUCAUUUUACACAGAGCCUUAACUACUUAAUAAAAAAAGAGGUGGGAUUGUUCUGUGUGUAUCGAAAAUCAAGUAGAGAAGGAAGAAAAAGCAGAGAGAAAAAGGAGAAAGGAGAGUUGCAUUGAACGGAAAGUCGAUCCGUGAUCCGAUUGAGUUGGAACAUUGUCAGGAGGUUUAUGAUUUAAAGUUUUACAUUCUGAACGGUGAAGAUAGGGUUUGAAGCUCUCUAGAAACAAAUUCAAGGUAUAUUUGUUGAGUCACUUAUUUGAUGAGAUUUCAUCAAUUGUUUUCUCUAGUUGUUGAUUAGCUCUAAUUUUAGCUAGAGAAAAACUUUGUAUACCUAUUAUUUGAUAGUGAAGAUUUUUCUGGUAGUCCGUGAUUUUUUUCCUCUACAUUGAAAAAUUUUUCACGUAAAUCUUGGUGUGUUUUAUUUUUUUUACGUUUUUAUUAUUAAUUGUUAUCUAUUACUUCUGUAUUAUUGUGAUUAUUGCUUCAGACGUAACAAAAAGAAUAUAUUGAUCGGUACCUCACGUACACCAAAUGUUAAGAAAAUUUUUUGUAAUAAGAUCAAAAGUGUCUCUUAGCUUUGUUUAAACCUAAUCUCCUAUUCGGAUGAUUUUAAAAGCGCGCUUACUCUCUCACGUUCGAUCUAACACAUUAAAAAUUUUACUUCCAAAGUCAUGUACUUAUCUUUUAUCUAAUAUUAUUUUGUUUUUCUUUUCUCAAUUUGCAUAAACUACAUAGCAAAUCCUUGCAGUCUCUCUUGUAAAAUUUCAAACAAUUUGACUUCCAAUAAUCACUCUUGCAGUCCCACUAAUUCCUCAACACCAUUGACCUAUAUAAUAAAGAUUCAACUUUUUAACCCAUCUCCUUUAAGACUAAGCAAGCUUAAGAUUGGAAUAAUUGAGACAUUUGGGAGAUUAUAAUUCACAAAAUCAACCUUACCAAUUGGCCUUAUCUAAAAAUUUAGUCUUUUUUUUUUUUUUGAAACCACAACCUUUGCCUUCUGUCUCCAGUUUUGGCACAUAUGGACACAUUAAUUCAAAGAAUUGGAAAGAAUCUAUUACAAUUAAAUUAUUUGUAUUAUCUUCUUUAGGUAAAGAUUUGACCAAUGCAUGAAGCUUGCUUUCUUGUUUGCAUAUCAUUCCCAUUUGUGAACAAGUCAUAUCCAUAUACGUCAUUGACUUGCUGAUGCAUAUAGGCCAAUUAAUUAUUCAAGGAAAAAAAAUUAAUUUAAUUUUUUCAACUGUUUAUAGUCUUUAAUUAUAUUAUUAAAUUUCAAAUUGUGUUAGGAGGCAAGUUUAACUCAAGCCAGACUUUGGAUAUGAAUUUCAAGGUCCGUGCUCUAUUUGACCUACAAAUAUUGUUAUGUUAAUAAAUAAUAUAUUUUUAUUUAAUUAUAUUAAAAUAUUAAUGUAAAAAUAAUUUAUAAUAUUUUACUAUUAAACAUAAAUCAAGUUGGACUCGAUUUCGGGUCUAUAUUGUCAAGGUGUCUACCAAACCCGAUCCGAUAUAUAAACAUUUCCGUCUAACUCUAACAAAGCUUUGAAGCUAAAUCGGACCAUUUUCUACAGAGAGAAAUGGGUUUGUUAUAUAAAAUUUACAGGCCUACUCUUGGCUCAUGCUGAAGACAACUAGAAAUUGAAAGUGACAAGGUUAAAAAAGUAAUUACAACAAGAACGAAGCCCCACACGUCAUUUCCUCUUUUGUGAUUUCAAUUGAAACCGACAUCAACGGUACAAUUAAUUUUGAUAAAAUUAAAAAUACUAAUAAAAAAAUUUAAUUAUUGAAAUGAUAAAAGUGAAUAUUGUAGUAUUGAUUUUAAAAGUAAUAAUUAGAUAUAUAUUUAGAUGUAAAUAUAAUAGUAAUGAUAAAGAAGAGUGUUAUGAGAAAAUAAAAUUAUUAUUAAGAAUAUUAGAUUAAAGUUUAUACAUAAUAAAUUUGAUAGUACACAUUUGAUAUUUUUGAAAUUAAUAAAAUUAAUUUUAUAUCAAAUAAUAUUUUUAUUAUUAAAUAUUUGAAAAUUAUUUUUAUUUAAAUGUUAAUGUUAUUUAACAUAUAAAAUUUUAUUUAAUAUAUAAUGAAAUAUUAUUUUAAAUUAAAAUAAUAUAUUAAGAAAGAGAUGUUAGGUUUUUAGUAAAUAAAAACUCAUUUAAGGGUAAAACGGAGAUAAAAUUUUUUUAAUGAAAUAAAAAGUCUAAUGCAUAUAUCAGUGGUCCACUGGACCCCUUUUGUCCACUCCACCAGCAUGGCCAAAAAUUCAAUUGCAGUACAGAUUAUAUUAUCCAAACAUUAUAUAAAAUUUUGAAAUUUAUGUAUUUAUAUUAUAAUAUAAAAUAUAUUUUUUAAUUUUAUUAAAUUUAUAUAUAAUUAUUAUUAACAUUUUAAAUUAUAUUAUUUUUAUAUAUUAUUUUUGUAUGUUAUUUAUAUAAGGUAUUUUAAAUUAUGAGUUUUAUCUAAUUGCAAUUCGUCGGCCCAGUAGAAUCCAAACAGGCCCCCAUGUUCCCUGGGACUACUCCUUUACUCUCUCAAACCGAACCAACCAAUCACUUAUCCCAGAUUUCAUCCUUCGUGUGACGUGUCACUCUCCGUUCUGUCUUCCUUUCAUCAAAUCCUAAACCAUGCCGCAGCCAAUUAACGACCGUUGGUUAUAUCGCCGCCCCCUGCUCUUUCCUUUUUUUUGUCCGUUGGCCGAACAUCUUUGAAAUUGAAGAACGUCUAAAAAUGACGAAAAUAGAAACAAAAAACGACGACGGCAGCCAUAGUUUAACAAAAACGAAAGCCGAAGCUUCGUUUCUCUUUCUCUCUUUUUUUUUUUAAUAUUCAUUAUUUAUUGCCUUUAAUUCACAUCUGUUCACUUUCCAAGCGAUCUGCGUUUCGAAUUUUAUAACUAAAAAAAUCAAAGAAAAAAAGAAGAAGCAUUGUUGAUUUUGGUUUGAAUCUUGAGCUUUGAUUCCUACGGUUAUCUUCCUCCACAGUACGCUACAGGUUCUUUGUUCUUCAGGUAAAGCAUCAUCGUGUUUUUUUAAUUUAUUUAUUUUUACUUGAAUUAAAACCAAAAUUUCCUGCUUUGAAUCUGUUUGGUUGAUUUAAAACGAAAAGUUAAGGGAAAAGAAAGAAGAGGAAGCGUGGAUUUGAAAUUUUCACGCUUUUAUUUUGUGAUUUUUGUGUUUUUAUUAUUGAAGAGAGAAAAAGUGAGAGAGAAAGAGAGAAAGUGCGUAUUUGAGGAUUUUGAGUUUAUUUGAUGUUUUCUUAUUCGUUUAAUGAUAAAGGAGAGAAAAUCGAAGGAAAAACUAAGAGAAAAUCAAGAACUAUGAGAUAUUUGAGCUUAUUUUUGCGUUUUUUUAAUUGUCUGCUGAUGACAUAGGAGAGAAAAGCGAGCGAAAAACGAAGUAAACGCGUGCUUUGGAAGAUAUUGAGCUCAAUUUUGCUUUUUUUUUAGCUUAUUUGAGCUGAUUCAUUAUAUGGUGGACAGAAAACUGAGAAAAAAAGGAAGAGGAAUCGUGCAUUUGAUGAUUUAUGCUUAAUUUGUGUUUCAUUUUUAGUUUUUCUUUGUAGGUUUUGUGACAAAGAAGAAUGGCAUUGAAUAACAAAUUGUUAUUUUUCCCUGGGAAGGCCUUGGUUGAAUUGUCCUUGGGAUCACAACUCAUGGCUAGAGAUAUUCGUAGUUUUCUUUCUAGAAGGUUUUAAGUGCUGUUUUUUGCUGUUUAUUAAUGCAUAUAAUUUAAUUUAUAGAUAUAACUGACUUUUAGAAUAUGUUCCAUUAUUUGGAUCACUAUUCAGUACAUAGUGGAAUCUUCUCCCUGUUGAUAAAAAGUCCUAAAAUUGGUUGUUUAUGGUGUGGAAUGACACUGUCUUUGGUGCAUUGCAAUCAGAAUUGCAUGUUUAGAUAUCUUUUAUUUCAAGUUUUCUUGCAAUUUUUUCAAUUGUUAAUUGUAUAAUUCUAUAUAAACCGAAAGGAGAAGGAUUUGACGGAGGACUAGAAAUGCUCAUUGAGUGGCAUAAUUAUUUUUCGGUUAUUGAAUUCUUUUGCCCAACUUUUUGCUUAUCCUUUCGAAGGCUUAUGUUGCCUGCCUAAUUUUUUUGUUACACCUGCACAAUGUUGAUGUAUGCGCAUGAUUGCUUUGAACUUUUAAUGGUAGUCUGAGUUUGUUGAUCAUUUCUUAUAUUAUAACCUGCAGUUGGGAGGUUCUGAUGGGUGAUGCUAAGUUGAACCAUAUUUUGAAAGACUACUACAUCCCAAAUUAUAUACUUGUUCCUGGAUCAGAAGCAAAGAAACCACCAUGGGUAUCUUCGUGUCCAGUGUUAGUGUUUAUCAACUCCAAAAGCGGUGGACAGAUUGGUGGAGAUCUUCUUUUUACCUAUCGUUCUGUCCUUAACAAAAACCAGGUAUUAUCUGCUUGCUCUUAAAGGAUAAUGCAAUUGUGACUGAAUGUUCGUCUUCUCAAUCAAACUUGGUUGAUUGAUUUUCAGGUUUUUGAUUUGGGAGAGACGAAACCUGAUAAGGUGCUACACCAAAUUUAUGCCACACUGGGAAUGCUUAAGCAGCGUGGGGAUGUUUUGGCUUCAGAUAUUCUGAGUAGCUUGAGAAUAAUCGUGAGUUGACAUGUUAAGUAGCUGGUUAUGUUUAUUAUCAGGUUGUUUGUCUUCUUUAAUAACAUACAUGUACAUCACAUAUAUGUGUCUAUGUUGUGCAAGACUGCAGUUGAUAUCAAACCUAAAACUUUAUCUCUAAUAUAUGCUUAGACUGUUAGGUUGCAGGUGGCGAUGGAACAGCCGGCUGGCUUCUUGGUGUAAUAUCCGAUCUUAAACUCCCUCAUCCACCUCCAGUUGCUACAGUGCCUCUGGGAACUGGAAACAAUCUGCCUUUUUCUUUUGGCUGGGUAGGAUGAUGCUUACUCAGUUACUUGUCUAAUCUAGCUUAUUUUAUUAAUUGUUAGUUCAAAAGUUUUGCAGGUUAAUUUUCUUUUCUUUAUCUUUGUUCCCUUUCAUUCUAACAGUGUCUUUUGACUUGUAAAUCAUGAACUUGUCUAGUUGGUGAAUAAUUUCUUUUUUAUUACUAAGAACGAUGGUUUCCUUUUUGUCCCUGUUUUGUUUGUCAGUCUCUUAUUAAUUGGUAUUGGCAUAAAAAGAAACAGAAUUAACAAGUGUAAUCUUUCCAAGCAGGAAAUUGACACCUAUGCUGCAAACUGUGUUCACUUUAUUGUUGUCAGUGAUGCCAAACUGUCUUUUCAAUCUCCUUGAAUGAAUGGAUGACAAUAAGUAGUUGCUUUAGGUUUUAGCGAUCAGUUACUAGCAUGCACUCUUCUGGAAAUGGUUGUUCUAAUUGACAUGUAUGUACUGGAAGACUUGAUUCAACUCAGUCAGAAUUUUAUACCUUGUGUUUGGUUAAUUUGCAGGGAAAGAAAAAUCCUGGUACAGACCGCCAAUCUGUAUUGUCAUUUUUGGAGCAAGUAAAGACUGCAAAGGAAAUGAAAAUCGACAGGUAACAAACUCCUUAGCUGUUAUCUUUCUGGCUAACUGCUUCUACAUGUUUUUUGCUUCCUGCUAAGCAGGCCGUAGUGCUUUAUCUUAAGGCUGAGGAAGGGGUAAAAUAAGAAAGUUGUCUGAACGUCCUACUAGAUGCAUGAGAUAGUCUUUGAUGACCCUGGCAUGCAUCUAGUUCAUAGAAACUUGAUUAAGGAGUUCAGUAUGGAGAUUAUUGUUGUGUUGUUACUCUUGUUAUGAGCUUUAUUCUUGUUUUUGUGCAAUUUUCCUAAACUAUUUUUAGUUGACCACUCAAAUUUUUUGCUACCAAAUAAUCUUCCUGCCCCUUUUUUGACUUUUUUCAUCGUCCUCCAAAGCCUUUAACGUCAUAUGACGUGGCUUUGCAAAUAUGACUGUGCAAUACUAUGAGCUUAAUAUGAAGAAAAUUGGUAUCUGCCAGAACUUUUCGAAAUUUUUAAUGAACAUGAAAAGAAUUUAUUUUUGGUUGAACCUAGAUUAAAUAGUGAUGUUAUACUAGCAAUUCUUCCUUUACUUCUAUUUUGAUAUGGUUAUGCUUUACCGUGUCAUAAUGGGAAAAGAUAUUCAGUUGUUUAUGUGUUGGAAACUUCAAUUUUCCUUUCGAUUAUUAAUGCUACAGUUCAUUCAAUGAAAUUUCAGCUGGCACAUUAUCAUGAGAAUGAAGACCCCUGAGGAAGGUUCUUGUGAUCCUAUUGGGCCUCUUGAACUACCCCAUUCUUUGCAUAAGUUUCAUCGCAUCUCUCAAACAGACAAACUAAGCAUGGUAUGUUUCUGUUUUCUAUUUUUUGGCUCCCUUUUGGCAUACUCUUUUUUCUGUUUCUUCCAUUUUAUAUGUUUUGACUGCAGUGAUUGGUGUGUGUGUGUGUGUGUGUGUGUAUGUUUACGUAAAGGCAGUUGUAUGGCGGUCCUGCUUCAGUAUAUUUUGGUUUUGUUUUUCGUUAAACUAUUCUUGUCUUCUUUAACCUUUGGUGGAUGAUGAAAAUAUAAAAUGAGCCAAUCUCAAGGGUAUCUUCUAGUUACUUAAUAGCGGCAUCAACACGUUGAAUAGAUUUAUAUCUCAUCCUAUGCCCUGAUCCUCUAGUUGUGAGUUUGUAUUGUUUUAAUUAUUUUAAAUCUGUUGUUCCAAUAUUAAUCUCAGAGUUCUCGUUUUACAUAAUACUAAUAAGCCAUUAAAAAUCACUAUAUAUUUGAUUUACCAUAAGAUCUGUGAGCCUGGUAAUAAUUACAAGUAAAACAUGAAAGUUGCUGAUAUGGCGGUUCAAAUCAUCUUUUAAAUGCUUGGUUUCCCCUUUAGUGUUUACUUGCUUCACGUGAAUUUGGGUUGCUUUCUAUGCUUAUUGGCAAAAUUUUGUUGGAUGUUCUCACUUCUCAGGAGGGUUAUCACACAUAUCGUGGAGGAUUUUGGAACUACUUCAGCAUGGGUAAGAAAUAUAAUCACUUAUGUGAAUUUCAUAAUUUUCGACAUUUUUAGAAAAUGAAUGAUUUUCCCAUUUGCUAAAGACAUGUCGAUAUACAGAUAUGUACCUCUGUAUUACUCAUUUAAGCAUCUCAUGUUGUGGAAACUCUUAGUGCUUCUCAGGACUUGGCUUGGUCAGAGUAGUAGUCGGUGAUUACCCGUCUGUUAGUGUCUUCAACUUAAGCCCUUAUGAGUCCAACAUAACACUAUUCAAGUGAACCUGACAUAUAGUUCCAUCCAACAUAUCAUUUUGUCCCUGACAUGAUGGGCAUGAGCUGCUCGAACAGUCAAUUAUAUUGAGAUGGUCCCUAAUGCAAUAGGUCAUUUGAGGCAUUUUUUGGGAUUAAAGUGCUUUAAUGAGAGAGAGAGAAUAAUUGCAAAAUUAUGCUUAGUUCAUGGAAACAACUAUAGUUUUUCUAUCUUUUUAGAUAUCUUAUGCUGAUGUGGAAACUCUUAGUGUUUCUCAGGACUCGGCUUGGUCAGAGUAGUAGUCAGUGAUUACCCAUCUGUUAGUGUCUUCAACUUAAGCCCUUAUGAGUCCAACGUAGCAGUAUUCAAGUGAACCUGAUAUAUAGAUCCAUCCAACGUACCAUUUUGUCCCUGACAUGAUGGGCAUGAGCUGCUUGAACAGUCAAUUAUAUUGAGAUGGUCCCUAAUGCAAUAGGUCAUUUGAGGCAUUUUUUGGGGUUAAAGUGCUUUGAUGGGAGAGAGAAUAAUUGCAAAAUUAUGCUUAGUUCAUGGAAACAACUAUAGUUUUUCUAUCCUUUUAAAUAUCUUAUGCUGAUUUAGCCAUGGAAGUAAGCCUAACAGCUGUAUUGCAUUUGCAUAUGAUUGUCAGCAGUUUGUUAUCUGAUUGUCCAGUGAUCUUGGUGCAAUAACCUUUAUUCUGAUUACUAUAUUGAGGUUUUGAGGGCGUUGCAAUUUUCUAUACAAGACUUCUAAGUAUUAUAGUAUAAUUUAAUUUAUCCAAGCUUUAUACUCCAAUAAUUCGUUUGUACAAGGAUGAAGUCAGCCCAAAAUAAUUUCUACAUGUGAAUUUUGUUUGGCAGCUGGUUAUAGUACUAUCAAAUAAGUCUAAUUAGAGUGUUCUGUUCAGGAAUGGAUGCACAAAUAUCAUAUGCAUUUCACUCUGAGAGGAAAUUGCACCCAGAAAAAUUCAGAAAUCAGUUAAUUAAUCAGGUAAACAUUUGUUUUCUGUUUUGAUAAAGGUUGUUGAAAUGCGGCAUAAUCUUAAAAUGUUCAGAUAUUAGGUUGUCUUUUUAGCCAUAUCCAUGCUUAGUACUAUGCUCCUAGCUGAAAAAAUAAAUGCAAUGCUGAUUAUACAAAUUCCCCUCUCCCCCUCUCUCAUAUGUUUGUGUAUUGGACUGAAGAUCUCUUUAUAUAGAAUCUAUAUACUGACAAUGCAUCAAAUAUAAGCCCAUAUAUUUAUACAUUAUUUUAUGUAUUGAUGUAGGUGUAACUUGCCUACUAACAAUAUAGUGUAUAACAUGAUCUUUUUGUUUUUAACUGUCUUAAGUUUCCCUUCACUUGUAUGAUAAUCCUCAUGACAAUUCUGAAACUUAGACAACUACUUAUUUCUUUCUGAUGAAGCAGAGUACUUAUGUAAAGCUUGGAUGUACUCAAGGUUGGCUUUUCGCUUCUCUUUUCGUCCUUCAUCAACGUGAGUUUCUUACAGAUGUCUGGCAAUAUAAAUUCCUGUCCUGUUUAGAAGAACAUGUGUGAUGGCUUGAUAUUUAAAACGUCUCGGCUCUCUAAUUAUUUUAAUUUUGUCAGUAAUAAAAUUCAUAGGAGCGACUGUUGGGCAAAGGACUGAAGAUACAGAUACCAAUUUGUUCUUCAGUAUCAUGCAAGUGUUUCACAUGUCUUUCUGUUUUAUCAGUCAUGUUACUCAGCUAACUACUUAUCUAGUAUACAAGGUCCUGCUAGAUUUGUAAUGCUGCAAGGUUGAAUUACUGAUCUUGUAUUUAAAAGUACGGCACUCUACUCCAUGAAAUUUGUCUAUAUGUUAGAUACUUGUGAUUUUCUAAGAGCUUUAUUUCAUAUGUUUAAAACAAUGUCUCAUUGCUGAACGACACCAUGCAUGCUUCGUUUUAGUGCAUCAAUUACCUGAUUACUGAGCAUUUAACUUUUAUGUCUAUAUCCUUCCAAAUGGAUUAUUCUAUUUUGUUUUAUUUCUUGGGUAAGCUUUCAAGUCAGAGUUGCCAGUGUUUAUGACAAUGUCUUAAUGUCAAUACAGGAGCAUAGCUCAGCUAACAACAGUUAAGAUUAUGAAGAAACAAGGCCAAUGGGAGGACCUCAACAUACCUCGCAGGUGAAAAUCAUGUAUAACCUGUAUGCAUUCUUAUGAUUAUAAUCAACACUUCAAUUGCUCAUUUAGUCCUAAUUCUCAUAACACCAGUUUCUUUCUUAUACAGCAUUGGCUCUAUCGUCUGCCUAAAUUUGCCUAGUUUCUCUGGUGGAUUCAAUCCUUGGGGAAAACCAUAUAGGAAGAAAUUUCAUGAUGUUUGUUCCGAUCUCUCUCUUCCUUUAUAAUCAUAUAAUCAUAGCUGAAAUUGUAGUAAUUAGAUUUGGACUGACAUCUCACCCAAAGGUUUUGAUUGCCAAUUUUGGUUUACAGAGGGGCUUGACUCCUCCUUUUGUAGAUGAUGGCCUGAUUGAGAUAGUCGGUUUUAGAAAUGUCCUGCAUGGGCUAGUUUUGCUUGCGCCAAAUGGACACGGGACUCGUUUAGCACAGGUACGAGGUUCAUGACUCUACAACAAAAACUGUUAACCAUUUUAGCUGUCUCCUCUCUUAUUCUGGCAUUAUUUUCCAAUCUAAUCUUCGUCUCCAUAUAGGCAAAUGCAGUCCGAUUUGAGUUUAAAAAGGGUGCAGCCGAUCACACAUUUAUGAGGAUCGAUGGAGAACCAUGGAAACAACCCCUUCCAGUAGAUGAUGACACAGUGGUAGUGGAAAUAUCUCACUUUGGUCAAGUAAGCAUGCUUGCUACCCCAUUUUGCCGCUCCCAGAGUGUGUACAAUCCUUCUUCACCUAUCAGUCACGAUGAGGAUAACGAUAGUGCUGACGAAGGAGAAUCUCUGGACGAUGAUUGGGAAGAAAAAAGAAAGUUCGGAGCAGCUGACACGUUCAAAUUUCCUGAUGAAUUUGACAUAACUCAACUCAGCUAAGCACUUGAGCUCCUGCAAUCUGAUCUAUGCCCCUUCUUUACCCAAUUCUUCCCGGCUUUUACCUGCCCUAGUGCUGUGGCUGUGGUUCUUUCAUAUCAUAUCACCUUAACAUGGCCAUGCAAUGGAUAGUAUGCCACUUUGAGUGUACAGUUUAGCAAAUGGAUUGAUUCUUUUUUUCUUUUUCUUUCAGAUCAUCAGAAUCAUUGAUGUCGAUUUUAUUGAUUCUUCUUCACAUUUGCCUUUAGAUAAGAGUAAUUGCUAAUAGUGCUGAAGUGAAGAAUUUGUAAUUUGUAACAAAAUUAUGAUCUAAUUCUUGCUUAAUUUCAACCAAGGUUUUCAAAUUGAUGCUUAGAUUGUUGCUUGUCCCUAAUUAUUCUAAUCAUUUUGUCUAGUUGUGGUAAUUUAUUGUUUAGGAAAGGAUUUGAUAUGAAUUUCAACAUAAAAGUUAUUAGUACAAUAUUAUGAAGGAAAAAUAGAAAACAAUCAAUACAUAUAUAUCAAUGAACAAGAAUUUGAACCUCCCAAACAGAACAAGCCCAUCUCAUUUUCCCCUUUCCCAAUCGCAUUAUUUUUAGAUUUUAUCUGCAAAAUAUUUAAAAAAAAAAAAAAGAAUCAUGAUUGACAUCAAAUCAAUGAAGUAAUUUAUUCACUUAUAACUUCGAUGUGAAGGGCUCAUGGGUCAUCCCAUACACAGAAGAAAUAGAUAACAAUGCCAAAAUCUUAUCUUGGGGAUUUUGUCCAUAGCAAUUCCUUCCUCCAACCAUCAUCAUCUCUACUUUAUCCAUUUCUUUACUAUUAUUGUCUCCAUCGUGGGAUGUACAGUAAAAUCAUUAAUCUUAUUAUAAUACCACUAGCCUAUUGUACUGCUUGAAACCAUUGGCUAUUUCCUUUUGUUUAGGCAAUACCAUCUCUGGUUUUUUCCAACACUUUCCUCUAUAUAAGAAACUCUUACCCACCCUCCAAUUUGCUUCAGCAAAGCAAAACACAGCCAGAAAACCAGUCUUUGAAUUUUCGAAAAAAAAAAAAAACCCAUUUCUGCUUUCAUUUCAAUCACCUCCCAAAAGCAUAGAAAAAAGAAAAACAUGAGUUCUUCAACAAGAGCUUGGAUAGCGCUGCUAGCAUCGGAGCUGUUGAGGCAUUGAAAGAUCAAGGAAUUUGUAGAUG